rnacentral:lncRNA from 1 species
GUGAAAUGAAAAAAAAAAAAAAAUGGACUGUAUUUUUGGAUGUUUUUGUUUUUGAAAGUUCAAAAAAAUGAAAAGUUUAAACGUUUAAAUUGGUAACGGCUAGUUUCAAUUUUUUGUUUUGAAACCAUCUUCGUCUUUUUUUACCAUUUUAACCUUUUGCAUUUUCACCUUGAUAAAUAAAUAUUUGAAAAUAAGUAAUAAAUAAACAUUUGAAGAGUCUAAUAUUAAAUAAACAUUUAAAACUUAAAAGAGCUAAAAGAUUCUGUAUCUAAAUUUUUAUGUUAAUUAUUGCACUUUUGUCGUUUUCACUUAGUUACAAGUAAAAAAAUAAAAAUCUUAUAGUUUUAGCAAAAAAUCGAAUUUUUUGUUGGUUUAUCUAACAUGAAUGAUAAUUCAAAGGCGAGUUAAAUUGAGAAGAUCAAAUGAUCAGACGGAUCAAGAAAUGAAAGUUGACUAUUGAUCGACUUUUAUAUAGGGACAAUUUCAUCUAGUUGUUUUGAAAUACUCAGUCCGUCUAAUUUUCUGUGAGGUAUUUUGAUUAUGCACAUAAUUUAAGAAAGAAAUAUUUUUAAAACUUGUGAUCCAAAAUGAAUGAUAGAAAAUUGUGUGGCUGUAAAUCAUUUCGUUAAAGAUAAAAUAGAAAUUUUAUAAUUAAAAAUUGUUACUUAAUAUAGAAAUAUAUCAUUUUUUUUGAAUUUACUAAAAAGAAAAGCGAAUCACAUAAAUUAGGACUUAGGACAGAGAGAGUAGCUUAUGGAAAGUUAAUUGAUAAGAAUAUAUAAGUUCUAAAAAGUAAUUUUGAGUGCUAUAAGUGAAAAGCCAUAAAUUGGUGUUGACUAACUUAAAGAUUUUGAGUCAAGUACUACUAGUUAUGUUGAUAAGUUUAAAAAGUGUUAAUAAACUAAUUUGACUAGAUUAGCCAAACACCCUCUAAUCUUAUUUGCCUAAACUUAUUUAACUAGGAUAAAUCCUGUCAUUAUUGGACUAUAUAAAUCUAAAUAAAUACAAUUAAUUUGAGAUUAUCGUGUAGAUCAAAAGAUUUAUGUUAGAUCAAAAGAUUUAUGUUACCAAGCUCUGCUUUUCAAGUAGUAGAGCCAAGAUACUUGUGUUCAUGCUUCUUGCAAAUUGCAAUACCAUCAAAUCAAAGAGAGUUCGAGUCUUGGGAGUUCUUUAGUUGUGGGGAGUAGCAUUUACUUUGUUACUGCUUUCGACUCGAACUAUGUAUACAUAGUGUGACUCUUUAUUGGUUGACAUUGUACGCGUCUCAUUAAUAGACAUAUCGAACUAAAAUAAGAUCUCAAGUUGACAUCACGAUAUACUAAUUUGUCAUAAUAAUAAAUAGAGAAAACGGUGACUUUGAAUAUAAGGAUUUUCUUUGUUGUUCCUUACCUCAUAUAAGUGAUAUAACAACAAUACCCAAUGUAAUCCCACGUGUACGUAGACCUUAACUUACCUCAUGUAUUUUUGAAAUCUCACUGCACAAGUCCAUCAGAUGUCAAAUUUACUGUAUACAGAUUUGAAUUUGCAGUAGCAUUACAGAUUUGAUAGCUGUGACCAGCAGAAUAAUGUUGAGCAUAUCUACACAUUUGAUAUGUUGUUACAUGAAAUUGUAGCAACAAAACAUUGUAGGAAGACUAUAUUCAUUGCAGCUUAACUUAUGAGAUAACGAAAACUCUAAGCUCUCCUCUGUCUCCCCUUGUUACUCGUGUAUCAGAAUCGAUGUAGGUAACUUCAAACUCACCACUUCCUGUAUUUGAUGGUGGCCUGAACUGAUCUGGUAUGCGAGGCACUUCUAAUGGUGGGAGCUGUGAUAAAUUUCCAGUUGUCUUCACUGUAGUUUUCUCGAAUAUAAUCUUAAUCGUAGAUGAUCCUAUUUGUGGAAAUGUAUAAACAUGAUGUGAGAUACGAAAACUUUAGAACUUUUGUACUGCAAAAAGAGAAGCAAUCAUACCAAUUGGUCCAAGAGAUGUGAGAAAACACAGAACCAACCUAUAAGUUCAAAUUUGUGGGCUAAAGUGGCAGUUGCUUCAACAGGCGGGAAAGGCCACGGAGCACCUAAUUCAAGCUCCACUAUGUUGUCAAAAUCUUUGCUCAGUACAUCGAUUCUUUGAAAUACCUGAUCAAACCAAAUCAGUCGAUUAUGCUACCGUGUAUCAAUAUAUAAGCUUGAUAUAUAGUAGUGAAUUAGAACGCUCAACAUUGUUCUGCAGCAAGCUAAAGAAAUGAACAUAUUGAUCCUUAUAACUGCAAGGCAAAACCAUGGAAAGAUGUUCCACAACAAAUCUAGGAUAGGACUUUAAGAAUGCAACUUCUUAACCUGGAAAUAAUCAAGGGCUGAUUUACGUCAAAGGUAGCAGCUGCGGGUGCAACCACUCACAGAGGGGGAGAGUUGAAAAUUCAUUUAAAGUAUAUAUUUAUACCAACUUUGACCUCAUCACAAUGACGUAGUGGGUGCAACGGUACUCCAAAGUCACUUAAAUCCUAGAUUCUCCUCUGAAUAUGAUGACAAACUGUCUUUGUUCUCUUCAUAACAUGUCUAUGGUAAUCAUAAUAGAUGUCCGACCAACCACUCUGUGUUCUCUUUAAUUCAUGGUUAACCACUGUAAGCAUGUUCGUAACAGAGGACGGGAAGUGGCCAGCUCUUACAGAAUUAAAUGAGUACUUUUAGCUUACCUGACCAAGAGUGAUGGGAAGAAGUCUUCCAGUGGGGGGUCCAGGACGACUUCCACCAAGAGUACGAGAUGAGAAUGCACUGCUGUAUAUCAAUUUCCACCUCCCUUGAAGUUUAUCAAGAUCAGCUGCGAGAUCUACAGCUCCUGCACAAGAUUCUAGCUCCUUGGCAGCCUCAUCCGCCUUCUUUAGAUCAUCUUCACUUGCAGCAAGACCUCUGUUUAGCCCAGAAACAGCACUCUGCAAGUGAUCAACACAUUUGUCAAGAGGAACCUCCUAACUUGCUAUAAUCAAUAUAAUACAUAACAAAGGAGUGCACACGUCUCUAUAGCUUUAACGGCAGAUGAUUGAUAAGGAUAUGUCAUUGUACGAAGUAAUUUAAAAAACCAAGAUUAAAUUCCAGGGGAAAAGAGAUAAAAACUUAGAACAGUAAGAGGAGACGGGGAAAUAUUCGCAACCUCUUCCAAUGACAAUUAUACUUAAUGAUGAUAAAAUAUUAAUGGUUCUGCCAAAUAUUGGACCUAGCCAGUAAGGAGAUAGGCAUAAGCUCAUGGUGACAGCAAGAUUAAAUUCCAGGGGAAAAGAGAUAAAAACUUAGAACAGUAAGAGGAGACGGGGAAAUAUUCGCAACCUCUUCCAAUGACAAUUAUACUUAACGAUGAUAAAAUAUUAAUGGUUCUGCCAAAUAUUGGACCUAGCCAAGAAGGAGAUAGGCAUAAGCUCAUGGUGACAGCAACAUCAGUUGCAUACAUCUUCCCCUCCAGAUCAACAACCAUUCUGUUGCACUUAGAUGUGCAAAACCAUAAGAUACUAAGCAUGUAAAGCAAGUUAAUUGGCAAUUGAAGCAGGAGAGUAUUCAUUUUUUUUUUGUCCUUAGACAUUGCCACUCUAACGGUGAUUUCUGUAGUCAGAGCGAAUCCAAGAACUGAAUAUUUUAGGAAAAUAUAUAUUCCAACAUCAACAGCAAUAUCUGAUCUUCAUUAGUCUCUCAGUUGAGUAGCCUCAAAGUCUGACCAGAUCCUUCAAUGGUACAAAAUGCUGGGACAAGUAGUAAUCUCUUUUGCCGCAAGGGUGUCUAGGAGAAUUUGAAUGGAGAAACAUGGUCAUUGACCAUUAAAGAAGCCAAAAUCGAUUACGAAAAGGUUACAGAAGGGAGUUAGACUAUAUUAUGAAACCCCCCUCGUACUCAAAUACUAAAUUCUGAAUCACAAACUAAAUUUCAAGUUUCAACAUUUAUGUAGCACUUUAGAAGACAGGAGCAGAGGUAGAUUUUGCCUUAAUCUGUCAUUUACCUCAUCAGAUCACACUUAAUUCCUCAGUGACUCGAGCUGUUUAGGUGGUAACAAACAAGUUCAGUAUCACUUGGAUAACAAUGUACUUGCAUGAUAGAAAGCCCAAAAGAGAAACCAGAAAUAAAGCCAAGAAUCAAUUCAAUCCAACUACUCCAACAACAAAUUAGUUGAGUCAGCUUUGUAUCCAUUCCCGUCUAAUCAAGUUUCGAGAGGAUUCAUCUUAAUUUGACUAUUUCUUUGUUGACUUUCAACCUACCACAAUCUUACUCAGCUCUAAUUUGGAGUUGGCUAUGUAUUAACAAGCUCACAUGGACGGAGUUUUGAGCAAGGAAAUCAAUGUUUACACGAAAAGGGAAAUGAAAUUGACUAGAAGGGGACCAAUAGAGCAAAUAAAUUAAAGUCUAGGCUAGCCUAUCUACCACAAGAUAGUGGAAUUUCCAUAAGACUAUUACCAAUAAUCAAGACAAAGAAUCCAAGACACAUCGAUCAACGGCAACAUAAAUAACUGCAUAGGGAGGUUAGAACAAGAAGAUUAAUUCAAGGAAAAGGAAUAAAUGAUUAGAGCUUUAAGUACUAAUAACUUGAGUUUCAGACAUCCAAAAAGCUCAACUUUAGAUUCUUUACUGCCAGGUGGCUCAACGGAUGUGACUAAGAGGGAAAGGAUAUUGAAAUUGACUCCAAGGGGAUCAAUAGAGCAAACAGGAUUAAAGUCUAGGCUAGCCUAUGUACCACAAGAUAGUGGAAUCUCCAUAAGACAAUGACCAACAAUCAAGACAAAGAAUCCAAGACACACCCAUCAAAGGAAACAUAAAUAAUUGCAAAGAUAAGUAAGAACAAACAGAUUAAUUCAAGAAAAUUAGACAAGGGGUCAAAAAGAUUAGAUUUUUAAGUACCAAUAACUUGAGUUUGAGACACCCAAUAAGUUCGACUUUAGCUUCUUUACUACCUAUGUGUCACAGGAUAGUGAAACUUCCGUAACACAAUAACCAACAAUCAAGAUAAAGAAUCCAAGACACACCCAUCAAAGGCAACACAAAUGACUACAUAGGAAGCAACAACAAACAGAUAAAUUCAAGAAAAUAACAAUAGGAGGUCAAAAAGAUUAGAGCUUUAAGUGUCAAUAGCUUGAGUUUCAGACACCCAUCAAGCUCCAUUUCAGCUUCUUUACUACCUAUGUGCCACAAGAUAGUGAAAUUUCCAUAACACAAUGACCAUCAAUCAAGAUAAAGAAUCCAAGACACACCCAUCAAAAACAACAUAAACAACUGCAUAGGGAAGCAACAACAAACAGACAAAUUCAAGAAAAUAACAAAAGGGGGUCAAAAAGAUUAGAUUUAUUAAGCACCAAAAACUUGAGUUUGAGAGACCCAAUAAGCUCAACUUUAGCUUCUUAGUAACCUAUGUACCACAAGAUAGUGAAAUUCUCUUAACACAAUGACCAUCAAUCAAUCCAAGACACACCCAUCAAAGACAACAAAAACAACUGCAUAGGGAAGCAACAACAAACAGAUAAAAUCAAUAAAAUAACAAAAGGGAGUCAAAAAGAUCAGAUUUUUAAGUACCAAAAGCUUGAGUUUGAGAGACCCAAUAAGCUCAGCUUUAGCUUCUUUACUACUCAUGUACCACAAGAUAGUGAAUUUUCCAUAAGACAAUGACCAACAGUCAAGAUAAAAAACCAAACAUACACCCAUCAAUGACAACAUAUAGGUAAGCAACAACAUUCAGAUAAAUUCAAGAAAAUAACAAAAGGGGAUCAAAAAGAUUAGAUUUUUAAGUACCAAUAACUUGAGUUUGAGAGACCCAAUAAGCUCCGCUUCAGCUUCUUUACUACCAGGUGGCUCAAUAAAAGUGACUUCAUCAAUACCCGACUGGCAAACUAAACUUCUCUUGCUGUCAUAGCUCCUUUCCUCUAAUAAUCUUUGAGUACUUCUCUUGCUUCUUCCUGGGAGAUGACAUGGGAAAGAUUGGCAAGAAUUUGAUAAAGAAUGAUUGUGAGAAAGGGGAAGUCUCGAAUGAAGUAGAGAAGCCAUGGUUGAGCUUGAAUUUCAGAAAAAAGGAUCGAUCUUUUGUGGAGUUUGAUUGGUGGUGUAGUUGUAGUAACAAAUCUACAUUUUUCUAGUUUUGUGUUGAAUAAAAAAGCUAAGGGACCCAUUUCCUUCUUUCCCUUUUCUUUUAUUCGGUGUCUCGUAUUCAUAUUUAAAACGAUUAAAUUUAAAAAUUUCAUAUUAAAAAUUAUAAAACCUCUAUAACAAAGAUAUUCGAAUUGAAAUCUCUAAUGAAAAAUAAAAUACUAUUAUAUAUUAAAAAACUCGUAUCAAAAUUUCUGAUUAAGAUAGGUGAAAUCGAAACCAAAGGUUCCUUAUGAUUAGUAAUAGUGGGUAGCAAUGUGGGACACUAUGAGACGUGUAGAUGGUCAAUGGCACAUUUAUAAAUCAUAUUCUUUCGUGCACACGCGUGUUAUAAUAUACGUAGGACAUAAAUUAUUAUAUUAUAAUGUUAAAUAAGAUAUAUGUGUUUAUUUGUUAAAUUUUAUAAAUAAAUUAUAAUAAUGUUUACGUAAUUACAUUUUUAAAAACAAAUUAAAUUACAUAUUUAUGUACGAAUUGUAUAUUAAAAUUCUUUUUGCUUUGUUCUAACUGUUAUAAAAACAACUUUAGCUUGAUUUCACGAAAAUGCUCAUAAAAAAAUGACAUAUGACAAUCAUUUUAGAAAUCCGACUUAAACAUUACAUUUCAAAACACAACUUGUAAAUCAUAUUUCAACAACAACAAUUCAAUAGCUGAGAUCUCGAAAAAUAAAAUAUACGUAAAUUUUAUUUCUACCUCGACUAUUAAGCGCGACUACACAUUCUUUUCUUGGGUUUAAGAAAAAAAAAACAAAACUUCAAAUUAUAUCCAAACACUCAAAUUUGAAUUUUGGAAUCUCAAUUUUUUUUGAAAAAUAUUCCAAAAACAUAUCAUUUUCCCGCUCAAUCUUUCAUCUCUAAUCUUUUCAAUUCAAGCAAAUACCUCAAAAACCUUUUGCAGUUUUCACUUUUUUUUUCUCCAGAAAAACCUUAAAAAAUACAAAAAUGUCGACGGCAGCACCACUUCGCCGGCUUAAGGACCGUGGCGGCGCCGCCGGAGCCAAGAUCAACGUGCCGCCAUCCACCACCACCGCUAGACCUUCCAAAUCCCUAACCCCACUUUCCAACAAAUCGUCUUCUGUUAAUUCCAUCGGCGGGGAGAAUCUCAGGCGGUCCACCGGAAAAGAAAAUCCGAGACCCACAUCGCGUGUUCGGGCUGCAACGGCGUCGACUAAUCAGAAACCGGUGCUUCGUGCCAUGCCGAGAAUUGACAAGGCGGCAUCGGGGACGGCGACGGCAACCGGAGCUGAAGGUGGAGAGGCACGUGCCGAGCCACGUGCGAGGUGGUCAACGUCUGUGCCUAGAGGUAGGAGUUCUAGUCCAUCUGAGUUUUCUAAGACCUUGUCGGAUAUACGCAAAACAUCUAGGGUCUCUAGGGUUUCAGGGAAUUCUCGAGGUGUGAAUGACAAAUUGAGUGAAAAUGGGAAUAGGGUUUCGACGGAAAUGGAGAAAAGUCGUGAACUUUUGGGAAAAUUUGAUGUAAAAUCUGAGAAAAUUAAGAUAUCUGAAGGUAAAAAUUCUAAAUUUUGUGAUAGAGAAGAGCUUAUCUCAAGCUCAAGUUCAGUAAAGUUGAAAUCUUUGGUUGAUAAAAGUGGGAAUGUUGUUGAGUCUACUGUGAAAGAUCCGAGAUUGCUGACCAAAUCGAAUAGUUUUUCUGGAGUGUCGAAAGAGAAAUGUGAAAAUGAACAAGGGAAGGUUGGUUCAAGUGUGAAUAAGUACCCAAGUAAGCUGCAUGAGAAGCUUGCGUUCUUGGAAGGAAAAGUGAAGAGGAUUGCAACUGAUAUUAAGAGGACUAAGGAGAUGUUGGAUAUGAAUAAUCCUGAUUCUUCUAAGUUGAUAAUUUCUGAUAUCCAAGAGAAGAUAUCCGGGAUUGAGAAGGCAAUGGGUAAUGUAGUUGAUGGGGAUGAAAAAAUAGGUUUGACGAGUAGCAGUAAAAAUGAGAGUUUGAAUGUUGAUGAGAAGAUAUGUGGGAUUGAGAAGGGGAUGUGUAAUAUAGUGGAUGGGGAUAGAGAAAUUGGUUUGCUGGGUAGCAUUAGCAGUGAGGACAUGAUUAUUGAUGAGAAGGAAACAAUACCUGAGGAUAAUGGGAAAAUCUCUGUGAAGGGAUUAAAUGUAGAGGAAUUAGAGGCAAGGUUGUUCCCUCAUCAUAAAUUGCUACGAGACAGGACAUCUCUGAAGACACUAAUGGGCUGUACCAAAAAUGAGGAACUUGGAUCUGCUGAAUCAACUAUUGAAGUGAAGCCCGAGAAGAAUUAUGUUAGUCCUAUUGAUGAGAAUCCUAUUGCUGUGGAGUUCUUGGCUUCUCUUAGUAAGGAGCAGUCUAAAGUUACUACUAGGUGUGAGGAUGCUUGUUUACAGAUUUCCAAUGUUCAAGAUGUGGAUGAUGCAGUAAGUUCACAAAACCAAAAUUCUUCUUCAGAACUGUUCAAAGGAAAAGAAAUUGUUGAUCAUCUCCUGGCAAGUGAUGAGAGGCUUGAAAGUUUUGAUGCUCAAGAGAAUAAACAAGAAAUGUUGAUGGAGGAAGAGACAGAAGAUAGUUCUAUAUGUGAACUCAAUGAGAUUGGCCGUAAGACAUCUACUGGAGGGUGGUUUGUCUCUGAGGGAGAAUCUGUUCUCCUUACACAUGAUGACAGUUCCUGCUCUUUCUAUGAUAUUGUGCAUUGCGAGGUAUUAUCUGCUUAGCUCUACUUCCCUCUAAAUAUUAAGAUGUCAAAUGAACCCAAGCAUGACUUUUAUCUCCUAUUUUUUUGUGCUUCAGUUAAUGCAUUGUUUGUUGUUGUUACUGUUUUUUCUUGUGUAUGUUGUGUACUCUUUUCCGUCUCACACUAUUUUAUUGUAUGUUGUGUACUGUUUUUCAUCUUACACUGUUUCAUUGUAUGUUGUAUACUGUUUUCCAUCUCACACUGUUUCAUUGUUGUUACUGCUUCAUUUAUGUAUUUCCUUUUUCAAACUGCCUCCAAAUGUUUUUUUAAAAAAAACCAAGGGACUAUUGGGAACCUCCUCUAUAUCUCUAGAAGGUAGGGGUAUGUUGUUGUUUUCUCCUGUUAUGGCAUGAGUCUUAAUAUGUGACUUUAAUGAUCUUCUGGUCUGUUAAGCUUUAGAUGAAGUUUGGAAGGGUAUGAUAUCCAAUAAUUAAGCUAAUUCGUCAGCUUCUAAGAAUAGUUCCUUAACAUUUGUUAUCAUUUCAGGAGAAAGCUGAGUACAAACCUCCAGUUGGAGUCUCAUCAAAUAUGUGGAGAGAUUGUUGGAUAGUCCGUGCUCCUGGUGUAGAUGGUUCCUCAGGGAGAUAUGUGGUGGCAGCAUCUGCGGGAAAUUCCAUGGAUUCAGGUUUUUGUUCCUGGGACUUCUACACAAAAGAUGUACGAGCCUUUCAUGUUGAUGAUGGAUUUAGUAACACAAGAGCAGCCCUUGCUCCAUUACCUAAUAAUCCAAUGUAUAGGAGAAAUACUCUAUCAUCAAUUAUGGCGCCUCAAAAUCAGCAAUGGUGGUACAAACCUUGUGGACCACUCAUCGUAUCAGGUGCUAGUUGCCAAAGGAUGGUCAGAACUUAUGAUAUCCGUGAUGGAGAGCAGGUCCUGAAAUGGGAUUUACAGAGACCAAUGUUGUCUAUGGAUUACUCAAGUCCUUUGCAAUGGAGAAGCAGAGGAAAAAUAGUGAUAGCUGAGACAGAGGGUCUUUCUUUAUGGGAUGUCAAUUCCAUAAGUCCUCAAGCACUGCUUUCUAUAUCAUCCUCUGGUCGACAAAUUUCUGCUUUCCAUGUAAAUAACACAGAUGCUGAGCUGGGUGGAGGAGUUCGACAGAGGUAAAACUGAUCUAGUUCACCUAAUAUCCUUGCAAUAAAUUGGAUAUGACAAUUACUUCCCCUCUCAUGCCUCUAAUUAGUUUCUUCCAUACCUUGGAUAUGCUUCUUGUCGAACAUAUGCUUUUCUAUACUGAACAUAUUGCAUAUUGGUGAUGAAAUAUGGUUGGGAGCUGUAAAAAGAAAGAUAAAAGAUUUGUAUGUUGAUGUUGGUAACACUUGAUAUUUUCCAAAAACAAGUUAACAUUUGUUCCUUUAUAUGGCAAAUGAAUCAUAAACUCUAUAAAGGUUCAAGGGGAAGUUAUAGCAAAACAAGUUUUUAGACCCUAGGUUUGGGUAGAAAGCUAUUAAGUCUCCAAGAAGUACAAUUCUUGCCUUCUAAAUUGGAGCAGUUUUCUGCUGUAGUUAUAUGAAAUUCUUUUAUGCCUAGCAGGUCUCUGUGGUCACUGGUUUACAUGAUUGGCUCAAAGAGUUUUCUGUAUGUUGUUUUCUCAAUAUCAACAACAUACCUAGUGUAAUCUCAUAAGUGGGGUCUGGGAGGGUAGAGUGUAAGGUAGAGAGGAUGUUUCCAAUAGAUCCUCGGCUCAACUAAAAUUGUAAAAGUAGGAAAAAAAGAAGUAACAAUAGAAGAAAUCAUGGCGUAAUAUUGUAGUCUAUUGAGAGCAUGUUAAAGUAUUCUGAGAAAAGGAAGCGUAACUACAAAAGAUAUCAUGCAAGAUAACAACAGGUAAUAACAGACACUGAAAGAUUAGAAACUCCUUGAGAAAUACUACGACUUAAUAGUAUGAAAAGAUAGCAUGGUUAACAAAGUUCUCAUUAUAGUUCAGCCUAUAGCAGAUCAUUUUCACCUCUAUCAAAAGUUUGAACCUUCAUAUUUCGAUGCAGGGCUAGUUCUUCUGAAGUUGAAGGAAAUGAUGGUGUGUUUUGCACCUCUGAUUCCAUCAACAUUUUAGAUUUCCGUCACCCUUCUGGUAUAGGUCUGAAAAUACCCAAGAUUGGUGCAAAUGUUCAGUCAGUUUUCUCCCGUGGUGAUUCUUUAUAUCUUGGCUGCACUACAGUGAAAUCCGCGGUGAAAAGGCAGGUCACUUCCCAAAUCCAGCAGUUCUCAUUGCGCAAGCAGAAGCUUUGCAACACCUAUGUAUUGCCAGAAUCAAAUGCUCACUCCCAUUACACGGCUUUAACACAAGUUUGGGGAAACUCAAAUGUUGUUAUGGGAGUUUGUGGAUUGGGCCUAUUUGUUUUCGAUUCAAAUAAAGACGAUGCUUUGCAGUCGUUAAACACUUUGGAUCAAAACAAUGGACAGAAUCUGAGAGAAGCAAUUGGACCAGAUGAUUUGUAUUCACCUUCUUUUGAUUAUUUAUCAUCUAGAGUUCUUCUCAUAUCGAGAGAUCGACCAGCUAUGUGGAGGUAUAUGUUCUAAGUUUCAUUUAUCUUAGGUAUAGUUUGUUAAGGUAUUUUGUAACUUAUUAUGCUUGAUGAUGCCUUUCUUGUUUGAGGUUUUUGGUGUUUACUCUACUAUAAUCCAUUUUUCAGUGUGGAGGAACUAUAUAAGAUUUCCCCUUAUAGCAAUGAUGAAGAAUUGCUAAUUUAUGAGUUGUGUUAUAUUGCCUUAUAUCCUUUUUAACUUCUUAUUGAUAGCACGGUUAGGUGCUGGCACUCAAUUAGUAACGGGUGUAUACACAUUGCUCCUCGACUCAUUUUGCAAUUCUUGUUUCUCAUAAAAAAAACGAGGCAAGGAUUGUCCAAAAUUAUAUUCGGAAUUAACUAUAUUUUUUAAAUGGAAAAUUAUGUGAAAUGUCAAGCAUAAUUAAUGUAGUUGUAUAGUUUCAACUGUUUUUAAUAUGUAGCUACAGUUUCAUGAAAUUUUGCUAUUUGGUUUCUUAAUUAUAUAGAUUUAGAAUUUGUAUAUUUUGAUUCCUAACUGUAUAAAUGAAGAAUUUGUAUAUGAUUACCCUAGCUAUUUAUAUAUGAUUUAUGAAGAAUUUAUGAUAAAUUAUUUAAUAUGUAUAUUGUCAAACGAAAUAUACAAAUCGAGCUUUGAAAAAUUCCAUAUAGCUAUAGAAUUUGUAUAUACUUACCUUGUUUGUUAUUCACAAGCAAAAUAUACAAACGGGCGAACAAAAUAUACAAGCUGCAUCUUUCAUUUAUACACACUUGUCUUGUUUCUUUAUUUACAAGUGAAAUAUUGAAACUGCUGCCUCCAUAGCAAAUUAAGCUAUAGUUACGGUUGUUAUUAUCGAAAUUAUAGUUAUAAGACCUUAUUAUGUCUAUUAUCUAACGGGGAUAAAUAGCAGUCGAAUUUGGCACACACUAUAUUUAGAGAUAAAGAAUAACGUGAACUUUAAAACCUUAUUAAUAAAAGUUUGAAAAUACGUAAGAUGUAGUGUUUUAUUAUCACUGAUGAAAUUAAAUAUUCUUCUAGAUAACUUAAAUGGAUUUUGGUUUAUCAAUUACUUCUAGAUUAUCCUAUAAGAUUUGUUUAUUAAUCACACAUAAAUUUGUUGAAAGUUUUUUUAAGCAAUUGGGGUAUAAAAUCUAACUAAACCGCAAAUUGAGAAAAGAAAAUCUGAUUAGUGGUUGGCUUGACUUGGUUUGAUUUUGGGAAAAAUUUCGGCUAAAAAAAACCAAUUCGAGACCAAAUCAAUUCGAUAUUAUAUAUGCAAUUUAAAUUCUAUUUAAUUAACCGAUUUUUUUCUCUAUUUGCCAAUGAGGUCUUUUUAAGAUACAUAUAUUAUGUAGGGAAAAUUGUAUAUAAUAGCAAACUAAUAACCUAAAUUAAAUGGAAUAGCUAGGGUUUGAUUUAAUUGUGCUCCAUGGCAAACAUUAGCUAAAAUUUGCCAGCGUCUCUCUCCCAAAAAUCUCGCUCGUCACUCUCCAUUCUCGCUCGCCUCUCUCGCUUUAUACACAAAAGUGUAUAAUUCUGUUUCUGUUUUGUAUAAACCGAGAGAAAAUUGUAUAUACACAUGCAAAAAUGUAUAUCUUCGUGUUAUACACUUAAUUAUACAAUUUACAAACAUUUUACUUCAAAUAUUGCAGAGAAAAAGGCCAACGAAUUAUACAAUUGCGAAUUAUACAAUUGCAGUGAAAUACAAUAAGUGUAUAUAUUGUGUUUCUGUUUUUGUAUAAAGCGAGAAAAACAUACAUCUUCUUGCUAUACACUUAUAAUUAUGCAAUAUACAUACAUUUUAAUUUGAUUCAACUAUAUGCAAAAAAAAUUAUACAAUUGCAGCGAAAUAAGCCAGCGAAUUAUACAAGUGUAUAUGUAUAACAAAUUAUACAGUUUUAUGUUUGCUAUGGAGCGCAAUUAUGCAAAGUUUGCUAUAGCAUACAAAUAUGAAUUUUUUGUUUGCUAUAUGUGAAAGUUUUCCUAUUAUGUAUAAUCAAUAGCCAUGAUACAUGAAUGUAAAGAAUAUAUGACCAUCAAAAAAUGUGGUGCAGUGAAUAAGAUUAUUCGAGCUUUAAAUAUAAAAAAAAUCCUUAAUACGAAGCGCUUUCCUCUGAAUAAAUCCUAUAUGGCAUGAAUUUAAAAUAAUUGAGCUGCUAUGCAAAUAUCAAACACAGUAUACAAAAACUCUUAAAAAUUAAUCUACACCAAAUACAACUUUAAAAACUCAAACUACAAAAUAAUUUUAUAGAAUGUUACUUGUGCAUCUAUGGUGCAUUAAGAAAUUUAUUUCUAUGACCUUCGAAAAAUUAAAAAUCAAGAUUAUGUAUUAUGCCACAACAUUAUGGUGAAAAACUUGUAAGAUACAUAAAUAAUUAUUUUUAAUUCCCUCUUUUUAUAUUAUCUACAUAUGAAAGUUUUUCUCUUUAAAUUUUUUAUCAUAAAAAAUUUCAAAAAUCUUUAUUUUCGUUACCACAAUUUAUCACAUAAACUAAAACAAAAUUUCAAAAAAAAAUAAUAUUUUCGUUUCCAAAAUUUGUCACAUAAACUUAAAUAUAAGAUGUUAUUUUCGUUUCAAAAAUUUAUUUAAAUAGAAGAUAUGCAUCAAACUACAAACUUGGUAAACUUAUUGACUUUCUAAUAAAAUAAAAUAUUAUAUAUACUGAUGUAGAAUAUAUGAUAGGUUAAAUUUUGGACCAUUAAACAACAAUUUACAAGUUGAACUGUUGGACUUAAUGUCAUUUCUUAAUUAUAUAUAUUACAUUACAAAUAAUAUAUAUAUAUAUAUGUUGUUAACAUCAUUGAUCAGGCGCACAAAUUAAAUUAUAUGUAAAUAAAAUAAUAAUAAUUAUCUAUAGUCGAUUCAUCUACUUUUAAUUUAAAUUAGGAUAAUAAUUAAUCGAUUGGAUACAACUUUAUAAGUGACCAUUUAAUUUGACUUCAAUACUCUAAUCUAACAGCUAGCGUUGAUUUUUACAGAGUUACGAUCCGACGAGGAUAAAUUAUAUAUAGAUUUUAUUUAUAUUCAUAUGAGAUAGAAAUUAUUUUUUAUAGACUGUCAAAGCAAAAAAUAAUUAAAUAGGAAAAUAUACAAGUAUCCUCUUAACUUAUUUUUAAAAUUUCAGAGAUACAUUUAUACUAUAUUAAAGUCCUAUUACCCCCUCAACUUAUUUUAUAAUUAAUUUUAUACCCCUUUUCGACCUACGAGGCACUAAUUUGAGAAAAAGUCAACCAGUGUUUGGCCACAAGAUAGUGUCACGUAGUUCAAAAAGGGAUAGAAAAUUAUUAAUAAAAUAAGUUCAGGGGGUAAUAAGACCUUAUUAUAGUAUAAGCGUGUCUCUGAAAUUUCGGACAUAUGUUGAGAUGGUACUUGUGUAUUAUACCUGAAUAAAUAGAGAGUAGAAAUAAAAUUGAGGAAUCAGAUAAUGCUAGCAUAAUAAUAGCAAUACUGAUAAGGGAGGGAUUGACCUUUGUAACGCAUAUUCAGUUGUAUCGGCACCGUUCCAUUGAUUUGUUUUUUAUCAGAGCAUCAAGCAGCGCAAUUCGAUUCCACUUGACUAAAUUCAUGCUCCUCCAAGAAGAGUUUGCUUUACUGAACUCCCUUUUUUAUAACAAGCCAGAAAUUUUCGAUCCGACGCUUGUUAGUUCCUAAUUUUCCUCGAAUAAUAUCUAUUUUUCUUUGAAUCUAUCAUCAUUAAUCGCACAUCAUCUACGUUCCUUUUCUUCGAUUGUUCAAAUCAUCACAACCUUACUUCUCGUAUCUUGUUCAUAUCUCACACCUUUUCUCAUAUAUCAAUAUAUGUUUCAUUUAAGCAUUUUUCAUUUUUUUUUAUAUUUAUUUUCAAACGUAAAAAUUUUUAACUGACCAACACUCCAUAAUCAAACUUAUUUUAAUAAUACAUGCAUAGUAUGACAACUUCUAAUAAUUUAGGAGUUUCAAAGUCAAAUCUCUUAACAAUAAAUUUCACUGAUUAAAUACUAAUUAACUGUUGCCUUUGACAAGUAUGAUAUUAUCUCAGUUUGAAGACUUCUUCAAUAAUUUAAUUUUUGAUUAGAUUUGUCAUUAUCAUAAUUUAAUAAAUAAUAUGAUUACAUAACACUUGAGGCCAACUGGAUCCUUUUAGCUUUAUUAAAUAACCGUAUAUUGAAUUCAACUUGUUUAAAAUUUAAUGUAUUUUUAUUUAUUAAAAGAAAGAAUAUAAUAAUUAUAUUAUACUCAUAAUUAACACAAUGUUCUUUUUCUUAACAAGAUCCUAAAGGUCAAUAUUUUAUAUUAGGUGUGGAUUCAGACGUAAUUUUUAGAAAAAUUUAGAAAGAAAAAAUGCAAAAAUACUCAACUCUAUUAUCACCCAUUUUUACUUAUCCGCUAUACUGAAAAUAAAUAAUCAUAUUUAAUUAUUCAAUUUAAAAAAUUAAAAGAUAAUUAAUCAUUUUAUAUAUAUUUCACUCUUAUUAUUGAGUAUUAAUUAUUUUAAUUCAAUUUAUUUUUCAAAAAUUUAGAUGACUUACAUUCCGUCGAAUUUUUAGAGCCAACCAAGUUUUUCUUUAAAUAAAUAAUUUUUACGUAGUUAUCAAAUAUGUAAACUUCAAAAGUACUAAAAGCUAUGUACCCAAAUUCACAGCUAAAAUUAAAGAAUUUGACUUUCGAAAUUUCAGUUAUGCUACCUAAAUUGGAAUAAAAAAGUUACAUUAAUUAAGAGUAAAAUAAAAAUAUUACUAUCAUUUAUUUAUUGUUCGUAGUGUGUCAAGUCAAAUAUAGACAAAUAAAAUAUCAAUAGAAGGAGUAAGUCACAACAAUUAAUAGUUUUUAAAAUAUUAAAAAAUACCUAAGAAAAACUACAUUCAAAUGAAACAUAUAUUUUUAUUUUAGGGCUUUAUUUUCAGAGUAAUUUGUUAAGAACUUAACAAUUAAUUGAAUUAAGAUAGAGAAAUGCCCUCAAUUAAUAGAAGGUAGACUAUUGUCUCGAUUUUUACUUGAUGUUUGAUAUCUGUAUCAAAGUUCGAGUACUUCAAAUUCUCGUCGAGUACGAUUUUAUUCAGAGUAAAUCGUUCUCUACCAGAGAACAGAGAUUUUCUCUUCAUAUCUAAAGCUUAAAUCCAAGAUACUUAAUUAAGGAACAAGCAACCCAAACCAUCCAAAAUUUAAGUUUUAUUAUUUCUUUCAUUUAGCCCUUUUUUUUAAUAAACUUUUCUAUUUACCCAUCAAGAAUACUUUACUAAACUGAGUCCGGAGUCUAAAGGGUAUAAAAUAAUAACAAAAAUUUCAAAACGAUAUAUAAAAUUUUAUAUUAACCAAAGCGGCAAAAUCGCUGAAACAACAGCGAUUACCAUUUUAAAAUUUUUUGUUAAUAUUUUAUAUUUUUUAGGCUCCGAACUCUUACUAAACUCUAGAUAUUGUUUCCUAGGAUUGUCCAAGAAAAUAAAUUUCUUACAAAACCCUAUUAUCUUUAUCCACCAAAUUGGGAUUAUAAAACCCUUAAUUAAAGGGAAGCCAAAAACAUGCAUUAAUUUUCUACAACAAACUUAACCAAAUCUCUAGAAUUAUGGUAAUUAUAACUAAUAACAAACUUUAUCCCUCACAAUAAUCACUCAAAAGAUAUUUCUAAACUUCACAAGUUUUCAAUAUAUACAUAAUACAAUCAAAAAACUUUUUGUAUAAUUUAUGUUAAUCAAGAGGAAAAUGAUGACUACCUAACUAAAAUUGAAAUCUCAACCAAAUAUUGUAGACUACAGAAAACACUACUUCUGAAUGAGCCUACUCUACGUAAAAAAUUAAAUUUAUUAAAUUUCAAUAUGCAUAUCAGAUAUAUUAUUAUUAUUUUUUAAAAUAACCUAGAUUUCUUAUGAUCAAAGAUAUUAAUAGAUCAUAUAUUAUUUUAUUAUAGAUCAAUAAAUAGCAAGUUAAAUCAUUGACCAAUUGAGAUUUUUUUAAGAUAUGUGUGGUGUUUAAUAAUGUGGAAAUUGCAUCAAGUGGGAACUUUUUAAGGGUCCUCACUAUGGUGUAACUUGUACUCAACAUUUGUUAAUUAGCACUUAAAAUGUUUUUUUAUCUUAAUUUUUUUAUUCUAUUAUCAUUUCAGCAAAAAUAAUAAAAAAUUAUUAUUUUUACUGUCACCUAAACUUUGUUUAAGGCUUAUACACUAUGGUGACGUAUCGAUUUAAAAAUAUGUUAAAUUUUAAAAUAUUAAUUUUUUAUCGCUAUUGAUUUGAUUAUUAAAUUAAUUAUUAUGACAAAUGAAAAACUGAUAAAUACAUUAGAAAUUAUCAGGUAAUUCACGUCUGAAAGUCACGUAUUUACAAAUAAAAAAAAUAACAUUUAAUACAAAAGGAACCAAUUGAUUUUAGACAAAAUAAUACUACUAAUAAAUGAAAAAAGGCAAUAUAGUUUUUUAAAAUUUUAAUCAAAUAGGUGUAGAGCUCCUGCAUUUUCUCCAACAGACAGAAACAAGAUGAAAUUAUACACAAGUAAUAAAUGAUUUAAAGAUAGGAUAGACCAUAGUAAUAUAAUAUUAUAUAUGGCUUCUAUCCUAACUUAUAUGAUAAUUUUUAAUUUCGAAAAUUAAAUAGUUUCAGUUUGAUAAAAAAAAUAUAUGUAUAUUUUGCUAAAUGAAUUUUUACAUAAAAUACUAUAGGUAAAAUAAUUGAUAAUUUAAAAUAGUUAAAAGAUAUAUAAAAAAAUUAUAAUUAAAGAUAGAUUUAUUUAAAAUUUAAAAUUUUAAAAAUAUUAUAUAAAUUAAAAUAAAGAAAAUAAUACAUAAAUCAAUAAAUUAAAUAAAGGUCAUUGUUCAUUGAGGCCAAAAUAAUUUAUAAUUUAAUUAAUAAUCAUAUAAAGCAGACGAUAUUUGCAUAUGGGCAUUGUUCACUGGGGUCCUAACAUAUUUAUGGUAGGUGAAAUUGACACGUUUAACUCUUAGCAAGUGUUUGAUCAUAAAAAUUUAGGAUUUCAAUUUUAAGUUUUUAUUUUAAAUUAUUUAUAAGAAAUUGCAUAAAUAUAAUUUAAAGUUAAAAUCUUUAUUUUUUUAAAAUAUAAAAAUUGACGCAUGAAUUAAUAUUUACAAAAAAGGCCCAUUGUAAUCAUAAAAAUUUUAUAGGAACGACUUAGAUUUGAUGGGAAGAUAUUGUUUAUAUUAUGUAGAUGAGUUGUCUUAAAAAAUAGUCAAUUAUGACUAUUAUUGACUAGUAGAUUAUUAUAAAAUAAUGUCUAUUUUAAAAUGGUAAUAAUAUCUGCAAGCAUUUAUUUAUAUAAAAAAAAACAUGAAAGUAUGUAAUGUCUUAGGAUAUUAUUCUAUUACCUUAUUUAUGCAAAUUGAUUAUUGAUGAUUCGAUAAGAUUGUAUAAGAGUUAGAAAUAUUUUAAUAAUUUUCAUAAAUUAUUAAAAGAAAAAUCAAAUUUACAUUUCCAAGUAUAGUUCAAUAUCAAAUCAUUUCCAAAUCAUACUUUAAAAUCACAUCAUAACCAAUAAAUUCCAUGACCUUACCAUCAAAUAUGGUGGUAAUCAUGUGACCACCUAAUUUAUAACAUGUAUUGUUCAUUUUCAUGAAUAUUAAAUUUUAAAUUUAUUUUAUAUUUAAUCGUUCAUAUUUUAUUUUUCAUAUGUAUAGUUUUUUUCAUUUUUAUAAAUAUUAAAUUUUGAAUAUCAUAUACUCUUCAUUUUAUAUUAGUCAUUCCCAUUUCAUUUUACACAAUAUUUUUAAAAAAUAAUCAAUUUUAUUAAUUUACCCUUUAUAAAUUUAUAAAAAAAAAUAUGCUUUAAUAGCAUAAGACAUAUACAUAAAAUACCAAUAGUAACUAAUAAGCCUUUAAAAAAAUUGAAAAUUCUAUAUUAAUAUAGUCUUUAGAAGAUUAUUAAUUGUAGCGAUAAAAUUAAUUAUAUUUUAAUGCAAUAAAUAAACAAGUAAUCUAAUACAUGUUUUAAUAAGCUGAUCAACUAAUAUGAUACGAAAUUAAAUUUUCUUAUAAACAAAUCAAAAGGCAACAACAAAGAACUAUCUUUUCUCAUGCAAAUAGAAACAAGAAAGAUACUCUUAUCUCACCACCUAUAAAUACAUACAAUUUUCUUUAGAAUUUUCAACAAAUAAUUAAAAACAAACAAAAGAAUAAAUGGAGAAAAAGGCUCAUCAUUUACUUAGAGGUGGAAGAAGAGAAACAAAAUAUAGCCAUGGAUUUUCUUCAUCAGAAAUACAAACUUUAACAUCUAUUUGUGAAACAAUUCUUCCUCCUAUUCCUCUAAAUUCACUUCAAAAAAAUAACAAAAAAAUUCAAAACUUUCAUAAAGUUUCUGGCUCUCAAUAUCCAAUUCCUGAUGAGGUAUGUAAACAAAUCAAUAGCCUGUCAGAUUUACUGUUUCUAGUCGAUAUACAUAAAUUUCGAAAAAGAAUGAUGGAUAAAAAGCCUACCUUUUUCUUUUUUUCUUUCCCCUUUAUUUGUGGUGAAUUUAACUAAUUUUUUUUAUUAUAGAGUUAUUCAGUUAGUUAACUAUCUGAAUUUUCACGAUAAUUUUCUCAUACUAUUUUUUCUAAUUGAUAUACACAAAUUUUGAAAAAAAAUGGAUAAAGAAAGUUAUAUUAUUUUUUUUUCUUUUUGAGGUGAAUUGAAGUAUUUUAUUAAUCAUAGAGUAAUUCAGUUAGUUAGCAAUCUAAACUUUCACGUGUAAUUCUCUCUCGUUUUUCCUACCCUACUAUACCGCUUACUUUUUCUACUUGAUAUGUUUAAGUGGACGGCUCUUUAGGUUAAUUCUUUGGAAAUAGAUUAAAUCUUUUUAGUUUGUUUUUUCCUUUUUCUGGAUUGAAUUGGAGUAAUUUAAUGAUUGGAGAAUCUGAAUAACUCAGUUAGAUAACUACCUGAAUUUUCAUUUUAUUGACGAGGAUUUUAAUUAUUUUUUUUUUUGUAGGUUGCUGAGAUUGUGAUGAAAAGGGGUUUUUUUGAAGCAAGAAUGUUGGUGAGGAGUUUGUUAAGAAUUCUAUCAACAAGAAUUGGGAGUUUGUUACUUUGUGGAUUAUUUUGUUUUGGAAAAAGUUGGCCUUAUAUUAACAAAUUCUCUGAUAUUUCAUUGGAUAAAAGAGAAAUUGUGAUGCAAAAAUGGUUCAACAACAGAUUUUUUACUCCUGUUAGAUUGGCAUUUGUGUUUGUCAAAUUCUUGUGUCUAUACAUCUUCUUUACUCAGGUAUUUCUCCUUCUUGAUCGCUCGAUAUCUGAUAUCUAUAUUAAAAUCUGAUUAUAUUUGUAUUUAUUUCGAAAAGUCUUGUAUUGAGAACAAAAUGCUUUCAAACAAAUAUAACUUCAUAUUCAGAAUUAGAAUUAAAGAUGAAAAAGUAAUUAUCGCUCUAACGCAACUGGCUUUUAUAAAUUUUUGUCUUUUGAGUCUAAACAUGACCCAUAUUUUUUUGCAGGGCUUUGUUGUCUUUUUCACCUUUUUUUUAAUUUUGUAUUUUUCUCAAAAUCUAAACAUGGCAAGGCACAUGGUUUUUGCAAGGCUUUUUUUUGUCUUUUCCUCCAUUUUUAAAAUAUAAUUUUAUCUUGAUAUUUGAAUUAUUGAUUAAUUCUAGUUUUAGUCCUUAUAUUAUUUGAUAAAGUAUAUACUAAGCUUCAACUAUUUUUUAAAAAUGUGAACUUUUAAUCCUUUUGCUGAUGAAUUUUCAUAGUUUUUCGAGAAUUACUAACCAUUCAUAUUGAAAUUCUAUAUUUGAAGAUAAUGUACUUCUUAAAAUAGUUCAAAUAUAACAUAUUUUCUAUCUAAAAGAAUCAAAAGCAUAUAUUUUAAUUAAUCAAAAGUUAUAUGUAUUUGACAUUUAUCACUAGGAUCAAAAUAAAAAAUUUACGAAUAAAUUAAAAAUCUCGAGUACUUUAUAAAAUUAUGCUAAGUAUUUUAUUAAAAUCUCGAGAUACCUUAUAAAAUUAUGCUAAGUAUUUUAUCAAAAUAUCUUUCUUGAUUUUGGAAUUAACAAAUUCCUAUAAAGAAUUGGUCACUAGGAAGUUUCAUACUUUAAUUAUAUCUUAAAUUGUGCUAGUAUCAUGUUUUAAAAUCUUUUACUUAUUUUAUUUUCAAAGCUUCUUAAAAUGUGAUAUUUUUAAAUGAAUUUCACAAAAAAAAACUAUUAAAUUAAUUUUGAGGAAAUGAUCCUUUUCAUUACAUAUGAUAUGCAAAAAAAUCCUUAUAUGGACAAUUUGUAAGUCAAAACAUGUGAAUAAUGAAGAUGACUUAUAAUUUAUUAAUCACUUUUUAUUUAUUGAAAAAUAUCACUUUUAAUUAUUAUUUUUUAGAAGUUAGGUGGUUGAAAAUGAUUACUCAUUUAUUUGGAUUUUUUCAUAUAAAUAGAUAAACUUUUUAUAUGGACCUGUAUCUUCUUUCAAUAGAGCAGAAAAAAAGACACUUUAUUGUUAGUUUAGUCCCAAGAUUUUAAUGUACAUUAUAUUUGUUACACUAAAACAACAUCAACAACUAGAUUGUUUUCUCUUUAUUAUGAGGUAUUUUACUCGGACUUUUUAAAUAUACCGAGUAUAAGUCAAAUUCUUCAAAAAUGACGUAUUUUUAAAGGACUUUGGAGGGCCCGAGUAACAUAGAGUUUAUGAGAUAUUCAGAUAUAGAAAUGUGUUUGCCUAGGCGCGGAGUUUUAGAACGACUAAAAAACUUUUAAAAUUUUGGUCCAGAACAAGUCAUAGAUAUUGAAAUGUAUCCUUCUUUUUUAGUCUGACUAAAAAAAGAGAGUCACAUAAAUUGGGACCGAAGGAUCAGUUGAUGUUGAAGCUUAUUUACUUACAAAGAGGGGAAUUUUGGUCAUCAGUUAGUUGAUUUAUUGGAUCUAUUAUUUGUCUUGAUUUAAAACUAAUUUGCGAGUGUUUUUGACCUAUGUUGUUUGAAUUCUUCAAAAAUGUAAACGAGUGCAUGUCAGUUCCUUCAUGACAUAGACGUGGCAACAUGUUUGAAGAGUCCGAGUAACAUAGCUUUUGACAUUACAUUCAACAAAUUUGCAUAUUUUGAUCAAGAAAGUUGACAAAAGAACCACAAAAACUAGUUAAAAGUGCUAAAUUGAGUGUCUUUUUCUUGCUAUAGGUUGGUGAAGAUUCAAACAAUCCAGCAUGGGAUGACAUUGGUUAUCAAGUAGACAAUGAAGAGAACUCUUCAGAAACACCAGAUGAGAGACCUCUUCAGAAGGGAAUCAUCGAAACUAUAUACGAGACAGAAUCAAGCAUUGUAAAAUCUCUUGUCGAAAAAGGCCUAAAAGUCACAGAAGACACAACAAACAACAUGUACAAGGUUCAAUGUGAUGUUGUCAUUGUUGGUUCAGGCUGUGGUGGAGGUGUUGCAGCAAGUGUUCUUGCAAGUUCUGGACAGAAAGUCGUUGUUCUCGAGAAAGGAAACUACUUUGCGAAAUCAGACUAUUCUUCCCUUGAAGGACCUUCACAGUCCCAAAUGUAUGAAUCAGGUGGUAUACUCUCAACUUUGGAUGGUAAAGUUAUGAUCUUGGCUGGUUCAACAGUUGGUGGUGGCUCUGCUGUUAACUGGUCAGCUUGUAUUAAGACCCCUGACUCCGUUAUACAAGAAUGGGGCGAUGAUAAAAGAAUCUCAAUGUUCAAAACCCCCGAGUAUGUAUCAGCUAUGGACAAAGUUUGUGAACGAAUCAACGUGACAGAGAAAUGCACACAAGAAGGUUUACAGAAUCAGAUUCUCCGUAAAGGGUGUGAAAGACUUGGUCUUGAAGUUGAAGGCGUGGCAAGAAACUCAUCCGAGGAUCAUUAUUGUGGCUCGUGUUGUUAUGGAUGUAGAAGAGGUGAGAAGAAAGGAACUGAUACAACUUGGCUAGUCGAUGCUGUGGACUGUGGAGCUGUGAUUAUAACAGGAUGCAAAGCCGAGAGAUUCAUACUCGAAAAGAAAAAGUAUGGGAAAACGAGAAGCAAGAAAUGCUUAGGAGUGAUUUCAACUAGUAUGAAUAAAGACAUCACAAAGAGUAUAUGUAUUGAGGCAAAAGUGACCAUUUCAGCUUGUGGUUCUCUUUUGACACCUCCACUUAUGAUCUCUAGUGGAUUGAAGAAUCGAAACAUUGGUAGAAAUCUCCAUCUUCAUCCAGUCAUAAUGGCGUGGGGGUAUUUCCCCGAGUCAAACUCUGGUCUCAAGGGAAAAAUAUACGAAGGAGGAAUCAUUACCUCGGUACACAAAGUGGGGAGUUAUGAUUCGAAUGUAAGAGCUAUUAUAGAAGCUCCUGCUUUAGGACCGGGAUCGUUUGCUGCUUUAUGUCCUUGGACAUCAGGAGAGGACAUAAAGAAUAGAUUACUCAAUUAUGACAGAACAGCUCAUUUGUUUGCAAUGGUUAAAGACGUUGGGUCGGGGGAAGUUAGGUCCGAAGGAAGAAUUAGCUACACGUUCAAUGGCAUGGACAAAGAAAGUUUGAAACUCGGGCUAAGACAAGCUUUAAGGAUCUUGAUAGCUGCAGGAGCUGCUGAGGUAGGUACUCAACGUAGCGAUGGACAGAGAAUCAAGUGUACAGGACAAAGUGAAAAAGCACUCGAGUCUUUUCUUGAGACGGUCACAGCAGCUGAGGGGCCAAAGUCACUUGUAAAGGAUUUUACAACUUAUUCUUCUGCUCAUCAAAUGGGGAGCUGCAGGAUGGGAAUGAACGAAAAGGACAGUGCAGUCGAUGAAAACGGGGAGAGUUGGGAAGCAGAAGGACUAUUUGUUUGUGAUGCUAGUGUUCUUCCAGGUGCUGUUGGUGUAAAUCCAAUGAUCACUAUACAGUCUACUGCAUAUUGUCUAUCCAAGAAGAUAGCAGAGAUGAUAAAAGACGGAAGAUUCUCAAGAUAAGCGAUCCUCAGCUACUUAUCCUCUUUAUAUAUAUAUAUAUAUACUGUUCCCAUACGAAUUCGUAAUGCCUUGUCCUUCUUUGAUUGUUCAUAUAUUUAUAAUGUUCAUUUAAAAUUAAAACAUAUUGUAUGACUAGUAUGGAUUAAGAGGAUAUCAAUAAACAAAAUAUUCAAGUUUGAUGUAUUUCAAGUGUGUUUUUGACCGUUUUAUUCGUAUAUAUAACACAGAAAUGCAGUUACUAUAUAACUGAACGUGGAUAACGGAUCAUAACAGAAUUGAAUUGAAGCACAAGAAGUGUAAAUGACAUACAAUCAUGAUGUGGUAGAAGAAUGAAGACUUCUUCUGAUAUUUACUAAAAAUUAAUAUAAGAUCUCAGAGAUACAUUUUCUGAUCAUAAUUGAGUUAAGAAUGAGAAAAAUAUACAAACAGGCAUGGAAAUAACAUUAGCUUAAUGCAACUCUUCUUGGCAACACCUUGAGCCAUAAGGCUCGAAUCAUUUGUUAAACGAUCAAUAAAAUGAUGGCGGAUUCUCCACUCACACCAUAAGCGAUAAAGUGCCUCCAACUUGCUGCUGCAGAAACUACUGUUUUCCGCUUAUUCAGAAGCCUGUCUUUGUUAUCCAAACACAGAUCUUAAGUUUCUUCUAGCCAUCAGAGUCUGUCUCGCGGAAUGGCAAUGGAACUGCCUUCACUGCCCUGAACUUUCCGACAUUGUUCAAGUGUUCAUUCUCCAACCUAAACAAUCACAAAUAAAUAGUAAGGAGUCUUGUAUGUUUAGCACAUAAUGUCUUUGCUAGCCUGCUAGGGACUUAGUGUACCUGUAGAAGUUCCAGUGACCACGUCGAAUAACUUCCAAUGAGGCAAGGCAAAAGUCAAGUAAACGCGACUCAAAGAAUCCAACGUUGAAAUGCAUCACUGUCUCCACCCAAGCAACUCUCAAGACCAAAUUCAAAGCCUAUGAUGAUUCAAAAUUUUGAAAAUCUGUUCAGGUAUAUGAUAUUGUUAUAUGUAACACAAAAAACUGUCGAAAGACGAAAAGGACUUACAAUUGAAGCAUAGUAAAUGCUCUUAUUCUUCAAGACUAGUUCAUCUCUGAGCAAAAAGUUCUUGGAUUUCAAGUUAAAGAAUCCCCAGUCCUUAACAAAAUCCCAAUACAACUGAUAAACUGUGGCUAUAACUGAAGUCACCAAGACGAUCGAGAACCAUAACUGUGAGUCAGGCUCUCUUGCAUAAGUUAGCCUAGCACCAGCUGCUACCAUAGCAGAAACAUACUUUCCCAAGUUAGCUAAGUGAUUUAUGUCAGACUCUUCGAACCAUCUCCUUGCACACUAGAUAGAUAACAGAACACACGAGUUAAUUCACUCCGAAAACUGUCAAAGUUUGAAUCUUUAGUUGUUACCAUAUUUACCUGCAUUGCUCGCCAAUAAUAUGGCGCGAAAGAGAUAACAUAAGCAAGUUCUCUGUACAUCCUUCCAGAUUUACACAUUGGAAGUCCAUGAGCUGUCAAACUUCCAGCAAGAAAAUAGCAAGCUGAAGACUCCAAAUGCCUCAUCAAUGGGAUCUAAACACAGGAAAACAUUCGUAAAGUUAAGAAUGCAACUUUGUGGAUGUUCAUACUUUGCUCUGUAGUCUUUUAGUUAUCAUAUAGUUCCUAUAGUAAAGACUAUAUGUCAUCAGUUGUGACGUUUAUGAAGAUUCAACCCCCUCGGACACUUAAGCAACCAGUGUGAUUGUGUCACACGGAGACAACUUCACCGUUGCUCCAAAGCAUAGAAGAUAGUAAGGUUAGCUAACCUGGCUUGUUAGUUGAUCAGCCAUGAAAAAGUCUACCAUGAGGACCUGCAUCAAUAUCAUUAUAUUUGAGAGGUCAAGAAUCAUUACUCAAACUACGCCGUUCAUGAUUUUCAGGAUGUGAAAGUACCUUGUAGAACGGAGAGCAGACGAUGUUACGUAUCACUUUGAGGAAGUAGAAGCGCGUUGGACGAUAGAAAACGUUCAACGGACAUAUCAGGAGAGCAAGAAAAGUCUGAAAAAAUGCAAAGUGCAGGAUUAGAAAGGGAUGCAUUUGAGUCAUUUCAACAUGAAUGUUAGUACUAGUAAACAAGAUUUUCUUUCGGUUAACAAACCAGUAGUAGAAUUCCAGGAAUUGCAUCGACUUGGCUCGGAGAAAAUCCAUUAGAAAGUAAGAUCAAGUGAACAACAAGAGCUCCAACAACAGAAGUCAUUAAACAAGUUCCUAUGAGGAAUGCAUCUCUGUAUUUGAGAGCUGUUUUAGGUUGAAACUCAAAUAUGAAGUUGUAAUUGAUCCUUGUGCCUUUCCAUAGGAACAAAUUGCAUCCAUACAUGAACAAAUGCAAGCUUAGCAAUGCAAACAUGCUGCACAACAUUACACAAGUAAACUCAUCUUUAGUAUUCGUAAAGAUGUAACUUCGUUUACACUAUUACUGUAAUUUAACAUGUCAUAGCACGUUACAACAACAACAUAUCCAGUGUAGAUCCACAAAGUGCGACUCUAGGGAGGGUACAGUGUACGCAGACCUUACCCCUACCUCAGAGGUAGAGAGGUUGUUUCUGUUAGACCCUCAUCAGCUCAUGGAAAAAACAAAGCUUUCAAAAUAGUAAUUACAACAAAUCGAAGUACGAGUAACAACAAAAUUCAAUGUCGGAGCCACGAAUUUCACAAAGGGUGUCUAGAAAUAGCACAACAAAAACUCUACUAAAAAAAAUAGAACUAGUAAGAUUCAUACACACGAGCACUUCCUCAUUCCAGGGACGUGAAACCACUGGGCUAUAACAAUUUGUUAGGUUAAGGAUGUCCAAAAUAUAUUAUUUAAUUAUUUUACUUGUGUAUACGGUACUUUUUCCCAAUAGAGGACAAGAAACUAUAGGAGCAGUACUACGACUACUACUAGUAUCGAAGUAGUACUACGAUUACUAACAUCCUACUAUAAUUUGUCUCCUCGCUCCUAUCUAAGGUCAUAUCACUUGUUAUAGCAAGUUAUUUCACUUUAUUUUUCAGGUAACUAGUUCGACUUAUUAAAAAAGUCUUACAUGAUAGAAAAAGAAACCAAAAAUUAAUUUUGAGAGAAUAUAAGUAUGUUCCUUCACAUAGCUUAACGAGUUUAAGUUUUAUACACCAGUGAUGUAACGAUAUAUUCUUAACCAAUCAUGUCACUUAUAAGACAGUUACGUAUAAAUCGCGUUUGUAACGAAAAUAAAUUACCAAAGUCACAAAUUAUAAAAAGAAAAAGACAUUUUUCCAUAAAUUAUGUCAAUAAAGAGGGAAAAAAACAUGAAAAAUAAUGUGAUUAAAAUAAGAAAAAAGUACCUGAAAACAGGGUAAACAGUUUCAACAUAAGCAGCUUCAGUUCUUGUAGAAAACAUGCCAGUCAAAUGGGCCAAAAUUGCGUAUACACUAAAUAAUGUCACAAAACAACCUGUGAAAAGCCCUGCAAAUCGAAAAAAUCGAUAAAAAAUAUUAGUCGUAUUUAACUUAUAUACAUUGCCAGUAUAAAAAAGAAUUACACUAUCGAUGUAUUUUACGUGUUCAAUGGACCUUUUUUAUUACUAGUGUGCAAGUGGUUUUUAAUUUGAGCUAGAAACGCCAAAUGAGCUGAGUUAAUAAAUGCGAUCGAUACAACGACCCUUCUAACUCAGAAUCACUUCAAUACUUUUUCUCUUUUUUAAUUUGUUCUUUUAAAUUUCUAGUUGCAAUUUAAUUGGUUAAAGAAAUUGUUUUUUUUUCUAGAAUAAAGUAAAAUUAUACUCUAUAUUGCUAAAUAUAUUUCUUGUGGGACAAAAUUAUCUUUUGAGUUUAUGUGAGCUACUAGUAAUGUAAACCCCAAGCAAUUGACAACUUCAUUAUCAAUUAGUUUAUUUGAGUGACACCUUCACCCUCUUUUUUUUUCACUCGGUAUACGAGUCCCAUAUUGAAGUUCCGAUUAAAUUUUAAUCGCAUUGUAGGACCCUUUCGGGGUAGCUUUCUUAACAUAAUUUUCUCUAUACUUAGGACUCGAACCUUGAAUAAGUACAUUAGUCACCCAAUUCUCAUGUUUAAUAUUCUUUUUGUUCUAUAUUAGUUGUCAUAUUUUGAUUCUCUAGAGUUAAUUUGAUAAUUUUCAAAAUUAAUUUUUUUAAGAAACAAGGAUUAUUAUUUAUAUAUUUAAUUUGUUUGUUUUGUUGUUGUUCUGUUCCAUAUUAGUUAUCAUAUUUUGAUUUCCUGAAAUCAAUUUAAUUAGUUUUUUUAAAGUUAAUUAAAAAUAAACAAGGAUUAUUAUCUACCUAAACUUUAUAUUGCUCUAUUUUCUACACACCUAAGUGCUGACCUGUCAUGGGAGGUGUUGUCAUCGCCUCUAGGCGCGUCAGAAGUAGAAAUUUGACGAAAAAUUUCUUCUUCUCCACUGGUCAUCUUCCCACCUUUAAAAAAACUAGUGUUUCUUCUUCCAUACCAUUAAUCCUUGUUCCUUUUGUAAAAAAAAAUCACGAUUUCCUCUCAAAAUUAAGUAGGAUUUAGUUGUUAAUGUUCAUUUCUACUUCAAAUCUUGAAUUUAGGGUUCGUAAUCUGCUCUAAUUUCUUAUUUAGGUCCCUAAUUUAAAUUUUUGAAUUUUCUCAAAAUUCAUCAAAAAUGUCAAACGAAAACUCGAAUAACGUUGUAUGGAUGAAUCAGACCCAAUGCUCAACGUUGUAGAGAGAUACAAACACGAAUUUUGAACCCUUUGAUGAAGAAGACCCACUUAUUGAAAUUGUUGUAAAUAUCAAUUGAGUUUCUUAUAUCAAUCUUUGAGAAAUGUUAUAAUAGUGGAAGAAGAAACAAUAUCAGCGAUAGAGUUUUUAGAACGAGAUUUCUUAGUGUUUAAAAUUACGAUGAAGGUUGAAGAAGCAGUAGUCGUCAAAUCUAGAAAAGCUUCAAAGAAAAAGAAAUGGAAAAAUGAAAAAGAAAGAGAAAAGGAGAAGUGAAUAUAUAAAGCAAAAAAAAUAUAUAAAAGAAUAAUUAGAUUUUUUUAUACAAAAAAAGAGUAAAUAUUACGUGGCAGCGCAUGUAGACCUCUGCCUAAUAUAAAUCUAGGCAUGAGUUUAUAGGAGACUAGAUAUUUUACUUAUAAAAAAUUCAGGAAAGUGAUAGGACCCCGUAAAGAAUAAAUGUUGAAAAUUCGAUAAUAGCACAGGUAGACUUUUGACCGUUUAAUUUUUUUUUUUGGUUGUUGAAACUUUAGUGAACUUUAUUUGUACCUUUUAUUAAGCACUAACAUAUGCAUAUAUAGAUUGAUCUAGAGAAACAUGUAAAAAAAUGAAAUUUUAUAAAAAAAUUUAAUAAUGGGGUUGGUGAGUGAAGAAAUUUACCAACAAAAAAAGUGACCAUAUGAGAUUCUUUAUUCUGUUGUGGUCUUAAAAACUUCAUUGCCUUUUUCCUGUCACUGUUUGCAAAGUGCUGUGUGAAUAAGGACUCCACUUCAUCCAUUAAUCUAACCACCUUCUCACCAUUAUAACAAAACAAAAAAAUAAUAAUAAAAAUAUUAUAAAAUUAGUACAUACAUUUUCUACCUUAUCUUAUAAAAGCAACCAUUAACUCAUUAUUAAACAUUAACAACAUUAUUUUCAUGAUAGAUUUAUCUUUCUAUAUUGCUUGGACUCGAGUAUGGGACCUACUCGAUACAGGUUGCAGAUCUAAUGAUCCGAUUCUUUAUUAUAUAAAAUUUUAGGAUUCAGAAUGUGAAUGAGUGUAUGAUAUGGUACGGUCUAGAUAUAUACAUAUAAUAUAUCCAAUUAUGUGUAUUAAUACUAAUGCGACAGAUACUAUUAUAAAAUAUGAAAUUAGCGGUAAAAUCUAUAGCUAAAUGGGAUUAGCAAUGAAUUUUUAUUGUUUAGCUACGAAAUUUUAUCUAUUAAUAACUUUUUAAAAUAUAGUGAAGAACUUCUAAGGAUCCGAGCAAUAUAGUUAGCAUAAUGACAUGAGGCCUAUAUUUUUUACUUUUAACAACAAUCAUGACAACAACACGAAAACAUAAAAUGUAAAAAAUAUUGAACUAUAUAUAUUAUUUGAUACGACAAAAGUCAUUUUUACGAACGCGAUUAUUCAUAAAGAUAAUGAUGUAUGUUUAUAAUUUAUACGUGAAAUUUACCUUAUCAGAGCUGAUGAAAUGUGAUCUUUUUACUUGUUUAAGGUAAUUUGCUGAUGAUUGCUGUUUAGCUACCUGUUUGAUAAUGAAAAAAAGUAUAUUAUUACAAAAUAUUUUACGUGUCAUAUGUAUUUAUUGAUUUGAUAUAAAUACUGACGUUUUAUUAAUUUUUUAAUUAUAUGCAAUGUACUAAAACAAUAUAUUUACCUUGUCAAACUUUUUAAGUAUCUUCACGAAAGCAACCAUAUUUAGUGAGCUGAAAAAAAAGAGUUAAAAAGUGAAAUAAUUAGAACUAAAUUAUAUAAAGUAAAUAAAUACGUUCAAGAAACUUCUUCUAUAGCUAAUGAAAAAAAAAAAUUGAUCAAAAGGUGACAAAUAAUUUAGCCAAAUAUAGAGAAAUUGAAAAGGAAAAAAAAAAGAGUUAAAAAAUAUUUGAUACAUAUUUUGUCAUUUUCUUAUUGCUUUAAAAAAAAAUCCUUUGUAAAAGAUACACUUUAUUUGUUUGUUACAUGUUUGUUUCUAAUAAAUAAUAAAUGAUUGCUAUAUAAAGUCAAAAUAAUAUUACGACAUAAAUCUAUUAUAUUACGAAAACGAAAUCUCGACUAUAACAAAAAUACAAAUAUAUCACAAUCCUAAAAAGAGUAAAGUGUUUUUGUUUUUUCAACAUCAAAGAGCUAUAUAUGAUUUUGACAUAUAUAUAUAUAUAUAUAUAUAUAUAUAUCGUGUGAAAUAAAUAUAUAUAAUCAUCAUUGUAAUUUAAUAUGUUAUAAUACGUAUCCAACUAUGUUAUAUACCACUUUAUUCUAGUUCACUAACGAAGCCUAUCAAAUGAUCUGAUCUUAAAAUACUUGAUCGUGUAAAUAUUUUUAUGAUUCUAUCAAUACGUAGAACUGAACUCUUGAGUACCAUGAUGCUAGCUACCAUGGUAAUAGAAGUUUAAAUUCUACAUAGUACUAUCGAUAUAUAUAUUGCAUUUUUUAUACGAUUAUCAUUACCAUGGUCAAAUCAAAUUGUGUCAACUAAAAAAAAAUUAUAUUUUGUACCACGAUAAAUAUAUAUUAGGAGUACUACUUAAUAUUCAUGUAUAUCAAAAUUCUGAACACUAACAAUAUUCUUAGUGAAAUUCCUGAUUUUCACGUGGUCUUUUAUAUACAUACUAUAUGCAUGCAUGAAAAUAAUUUAGCGACAGAUUAACGACAAACCUGUAAGUUUUGAGUAAGCCAAGGCCUCUAUAGAGUUCAACAAAAGCACUUCUAAUCAUUUUUUCAGCACAUUGUAUUUUCUUCUUGUUGAUAUAUUCUCUAGGUCCAUCUUUUUUAGGGUUAUUAACUAAAUCUUCCCAUAACAUAGAUGUAACAGCAGCAAUUGUACGUGUUGGUGUUGUUGCUGGAAUAUCAAUCCUCAUAGCAACUUUUGGUUUUCCUCCUUUUUUUGUCUUAGCUCUUGUGCUUGCUGAAUUUACAAAAUUUAUCCCAUUUUUCUCUAGUGCUGCUAUCACUUCUUCUGUUUGUGUCCCUGUUGGACUUUCACAAUCACUUGGUGUUUCUACGUACACAAAAAAAAAAAAGAAUGUUAUUCGAGUUAUGAUUCAAAAAUAAAGUCAGACACAUGUCGAAUCUUUAGUUACUAUGUUGAUUGGAUCCUUUAAAAUUAUUGUCCUAAUUGUGUUGUAUAGUAGAGGAGACAAGAUAUCAAUAAAAGGGUUUAUAUAUACAUGUUGGUCGGAACAUUCAAAAAAUAAAGUCAAACACAUAUCGUUGUUGUUUUUAGUUACUGUGUUGAUUGGAUCCUUUAAAAAUAUUGUUCUGAUUGUGUCGUAGUAGUGGAGGUGGGAUAACAAUAAGGGGUUGGAUCAUAAAAAACGAAGUCAGACACAUAUCGAUUAAUCUUUUGAAUGUGCAUAGAUUUUGUUGUUGUUUUUAGUCAUUACAUUGAUUGGACCCUUCAAAAUAUUGUCCCACUUGUGUCAGAGUAGCGGAGGUAGAAUAUCGAAAAGAGGGUUUAUCAAUUAAUAUAUAUAUUGACCUUAUAUAUACAAUGUAUUUUAUAGCCAAAAAAAUAAAUAAAUAUUAUUCUGCUCCUGUCGUGUUUGAUCCUAAAAAAUUACACACCUUAUAUAUAUAAUGUAUUUUCUAGCCAAAAAAAAAAAAUUAAAUAAACAUCAUUCGUCGUGUUUGAUCCUAAAACACUACAUAUUUUUUAGAAGAUUAUUUGACACACAUCAAACAAUACAUUUAAAGAAUUUAUCAAUUGAACAACAUAUAUGGAAUUCAUAAAGAAAUAAUUAAGUUGAUAUUCUAGAAAGAAAGAAAAAAAUACUUUUUGAUUUUUUAAAGUUUUAUGCCUAUGUGGCUGGGAAAGUAAUACGUACACAAUUAAAUUACAUAAUUUUAUGUGAAUCUCUAUAAUAAGUUUUAAUUGAUAACAUAAUAGACUAGAUGAUACACUUAACUAACAUCUUGUUAAUUGGUUGGACAAUAUAGUACUAAUUAAUAACGUAAAAGAAAUUAUACAAUCGACGUAUAUAAUUUAAAUUUUUUAGAUACAUAUUACGUAAUUUUUCAAAUUUAAAAUUGUUAUAGAGUUUGAAUUUCUUAAGGUGGACAUUUUUAUUGAACAAUAUAGUACUAAUUAAUAACGUAAAAGAAAUUAUACAAUCAACAUAUAUAAUUUAAAUUCUUUAGAUACAUAUUACGUGAUUUUUCAAAUUUAAAAUCGUUAUAGAGUUUGAAUUUCUUAAGGUGGACAUUUUUAUAUGAAAAAUAUUGUGGAAUCCACUAAUAUAUUAUCAAAUAAGAAUUGAUUGAUUUGUUGGAAGAAAAAUAAAAUACAAUCUUUGUAUUUUUGGGACCACCAUGAUUUUUAUAUAAAUGGAGGAAACUAUUCACACUUAAUUUAGCCAUAUUAUUUUUUUGAUAAUUCAUUAAAAUUAGGAAAAUAUGUCUUGUAUUAAUGCAAAAUAUUUUAUGCAUAAUCUUUUUCAAAAAAUAAUUAGACAUUAAACCCAAGCUAGUUGGACAAGUAUUCCCAAUAAUAAACUUAAACGUGUUUAAUUUGGCUAUUUUUAAAAUUGCCCUUAAAAUAUACAAACAUCGCAUGAAGUUUAUUAAGAAAAAAUAAACUUGUUUUACUAACUUAUCAUAUGAUAUGUUUAAGUAAAGAAUGAAAAAAAUUAGAUAACUCACCAGAAAAAUCAGAGUUCCGUCCAGAUGAUGAGUGAGAUCGACUGAAAAACCCGGAACCAGAUCCAGACCUUGACCGGAGAGUUUUCCGACUCCGGUCACUGAGAACUUGCUUGAGGUCCAAUAGUAUUUGAAGCUGUUUAUUGAGAAUAUCGCCUCUUUCAAGAAACUCACUCUCUUUCGUCUUGUAAAACUCAUUCACUUUUUUCAGCUCUUCAUCCAACAUCUCAAAAAAUAGCCUCACCUACACAUGCAAAGUGAAAGUUUUUCAAUAUCGCUCUUUGUAAUUUCAAAAAAUAAUAACAAUCAACGACGAAUAAUUUUUUAUCGCUACCAAUAAAAGUCUAUAGGAUGAUCAUUAGCAAUAGACUAUCAAAAAUGUUAUAUAAGUGUUACCUAGUACCGAUGAUUUUCGUAGCUAAUUUUAAUUAUUUUUUUUUAAAAAAAUAUUAUAUAUAUAUAUAUAUAUAUAUAUAUAUGCAUAUAUUAUUUUUUUUUAAAUAUUAUAUUAUUGUUAUUAUUACCUCAUCUUCUUCAGAAAACAAUUGAACAAGCUCAUUUUCAGUUUCAUAUAUUUCUUCUUGCUCUUCUUGUUCCUCUCCAUUUUCUCCUUCUUUAAUUAUACUCUUCACCUAUAAUAAAAAAAAAUAUAUUAAAACCAAUAUGAAAUAUAUCAACAACUUUACAAAUCCUAACAAAAAUUUCCCAAAUAAUAAUUAAAUUGUCAUUUUCAUUUUGACCCCCUUUUUUUUAUGGUUGUUGUACUUGUUUCAACUAUUCACGAUAAUUUCAUGAUACUAACAUAAAAAAAAUUUUAAAAAAAAACCGUUUCAUUUUAUUGCCUUCCAUGCUAAACCACACACCCCUUGAAAUUAAAUCUUCUUGAUUAUAUCGAAACUAACGAAUCUAUCUGGAGAUAAUAGAAUGUAUGCAUACCUUACCUUUCUGUUUCUGAUAUUAGGACGUAUGCAGACGUUAUCCUUCUGAUUCGGAUAUUAGUAUUAAUAUGAAGAAGAAGAAAAAAAACAACAUUUUCAUGAAGGAGAAGAAAAGGUGGCAAAAAGCAAGAAUAUACAUUUGAUACUAUUGAUACUAGUGGUGUUGCCUAGCCAUAGACUAUAUUAUAUAAAUUAAAAUAUUUUUAUAACUUUUACCUCAAAAUAGCAUCACCUUUCCCUUUCUUUUUACAAACAAUAUGACAAAAACAAACUACAAUAUAAUUACAAAAAAAAAAAAAAGACAUACUUGAGAAACUUCAUGAGAUUUAUGAAACUUCAUGUGAGAUGUCAUAGUGAAUGAACGAAUCGAGUCGAAUAUGGAUCGACCAAAAUCAUGAAUAAGUGAAGAGUUUCCAUCAUGAACAUGAUGAGGUUUUCUUGAUAUUUUGAUUUUCUUAACUUGUUUUUUUAGUUGCCAAUAAUUUACAAAAGCAUCUUUCCAUUCUGGAAUUAGUUGUGCUUCAAGUUCUUUAGAAAACUUCACCAUUUUUUUUUCUUUUGAGGAAAAAAAGGAGAAAAAAAAAGGAGGAAAAGGAGGGGAAAAAAUUAAUUUUUAGAGAUGAGAGACAAUAAGAGGAAGUUUACAAAGAUUAUAUAGAGGGGUACGGAAUGGAGAGUGUUUGAAAAAAGAGACAAAAGUUAGUAGUAUUCCACCAUUCUCCGUCUCGAAAUAUUUGUCACGUUUUAUUUUUCGAGAGUUAAAACAGAAUAAUUUUAAUCAAGAUACAGUUUUUUUAUCAUAUUAAUACAAUAAAAAUUAACUACUAAAAAUAAUGCAAAAAUCGAUAGACGAAUCUGUCCCGUCCCAUAAUAUUUAUCAUACUUCAUUUUUCGAGAGUUAAACCAGAUUAAUCUUGAUCAAGAUAUAACUUUUUAUCAUGUUGAUAUGAUAAGAAUUAACUACUAAAAACAAUGGAAAAGUCCUGUCCUAUAAUAUUUAUGAUAGUUUUAUUUUUUGAGAGUCCAACUAAAUUGAUUUUGACUUAAAAGAUAUAUUUUUUAUGUUAUGUUAAUAUGAGAAAAAACAGCUACUAAAAACAGUGCAAAAAUCGAUUGUUGGAUCUAUACAAAAAAUCGAGAAAAAAUAAAUCAUAUCCAUCGAUUUUAUUUUUUAAAAAAAAAAAACAAAAGAUCGACGGACGGGCUUUGGUGUAAUUCUUUUCACGUAAAAAUAUGUGGAAAUUAUAAUUUUUUUAAAUUAUUCUUUAAAAGAAAACUGACGUAGUCUUUAAAUUUUUUAUUAUAUCUUUAUAAAAAGAUGACGAACAUGAUCGAUUUUUGACGUGUAAAAUUGUAGUUGAAGAGAGUACGAAUAAAAAUGAUGGAAACUUUUUUUAUCAAAAAACAUGUAUGAUUGAGUGAUAGAAUUGUCAAAAAUCAUUUUUAAAAAAUAUCUUAAUUUGAUUUAAAUAGCUAUUACUUUUAAUGUAUAUUUUUGAAAAAUUAACCAUGAUUAUAGAUUUUGGCCCUCAAUUUGACUAAUGUUUUAGCUGUAAAUUGCAAAGUAAUUGUAGUGUUUGUUUUUUUAGAGAAUUUUUAAAUAUUUGAAUUAUAAUUUUAAAAUACUCAAUUUAACUCGAUAAAUUAAUAUAUUAAUUAUUAAAAAGAAAAAUAUAUCAGUAGACAGUAAAUAGUGGUUGCCUUAGCUUGUUUCUUAUUUUAAUUAAUUAAUUUUUAGAAGCAUAUAUAAUGGUUUGGUUACCUUUUGACACCAGAAAAAAGGUGAAAAGGUAAUUAAUUUUCUUAAUAGAUAUUGGUCAAAAAAAAUUUAAAUUUUUUAAAAAUAAUAUUGUUAUAAAGAUAAAUAUGAGUGUGAGUAUAUAUUUAUAAAGACUGAGAAAAUUAGACUCUUUAACUAAUUGUAAUAUUACAUUCAGGAGCGGCUCAAACAUAUUAGUGGUCUAAAGCAAAAAUCAAAUGGGGCCUUAUAUUUGAAUUGUUUAUAACUUUUAUAUAAUUGCUUUCUUCUAGUUUUCAGUUGAUAAUAUAACCAUUCUUAUUUUAAAUUAUUUUUUUAUGAGAUAUAGUACUCCAAAUAUGUCAAUUUUUUCUAAUAAUUCCUUCAUUUUUCAUGAAAAGUUUACUUUUUCUACAAAUAGUAUUCAAUAUUCGUUAAAAAGUAAUAAUUUAUAACCUAUUAUUUUUAAAAAUGGGGCUUCUUAAAUUUAGGGGCCUAAGACACAUAUCUUUUUUUAACACUAUCGAGUCACCCCUGAUUACAUUUACUUUUUAUCAAGUUCAUAAAUUAAGCAUUUUGUUCGAUCAUAAAAUUUGAUACACUAAUUACCAAAAAGUUAUGUUAUAAACAAAAUAUUGACGUUAUCAUACAACUAUCGAUGUUGAAAAUUUAAUAUACAUAAAGAAAAAAUGUUUUCUUUUUAUUUUACUUUUAUCUAUUUUUACUUGUCUAUUAUAUUAAAAAAAUAUUUAAUUUUUUUGUUUGUUCACUUUUUAAAAUUAAAAUAUAUGCACUUAAUUUCUAAUUUAUCUUUGUUACUAACUAUACUUAUUUUCCUAAAUCCUAAUGUAUUUCAACAAAAGAUUAAACUUAAUAUUUUUUUAAAAAAGUAAUCUAUAAUAAAAAUAUUAUUUAUUUGUUAUUCUUUUUGUAAUAUGACAAAAGACAAGUAAAAUGAACGAUGAUAAAAAUUGUGUACUCAAAGGGUUUUAGUUGAAUGUUUUUCUUCUUAAAUGGAUAUAUAAAUAUAAUUGUUGAAUUUUCUUAAUAUAAGAAAACCUUUAGUUUUUAGGUUGAUUUUUGUUUUUGAUUUAUUUAAUAUCUGAUAUUUGUGUUUGAAUUUGAUUAAUUUAAAUUAGCAUAUUAUAAGGUUUAUUUUCGAGAAAAUUCAACAGAGUUUUUUUUUCAUCCACAUAAGCUUGAACUAAAUUUUUUUUUACUCGUUUAUUUAGAAAAAAAAUUAACUAUUUUGACUAGUGUGUCACCUUUUUCCUUAUUUGUUCUUGUACUUGUUUUACUUUACUUAUGUAAAUUAUAGAAAGAGAUUAUGAAAUAUUAUUUUUUUUUUUUAAAAAAAAAGGAAUUUAUGUUUGUUACGUUUUGUUUCAACUUUUUUUGCCUUUUUGUGCAAUAUAGUUGUAUCUAUAAUUAAAAAACAAUUUUUUGAAGAAACAUUAUGUGGAAUAAAGUUGCUAAUAUAAAAAAUGAUUUAUCGGUGGAAGUAAACAAAAAGUUUUCAUAUUUUAUGGAGCUUUAAUUUAAAAGUUUAUAAUCUAUGACCAUAUAUAAACUUGAAAACCUAUAAAAUAAAGUUUUAUUGUUUCAAGUUAGUUAUUUUUUUUCUUUAAUUGGAUUUUGAGUAUUCAAAACAUUUUCAUAAAAAAUAGUCAUGGUAAUUUCUAGAAUGUUAAAUUAUGAACUCUCUCACUUAUUUAGGUGAAUAGAUUUACCCCUACAAGUAAUAUAACUUAGGAAGCUAAAACAAACUUUGAAGACCUGAGAUUUUUCUUUUCUAAAAGACUGAUUAAUAUGAAAAAAGCGAAAAAUAAUAAAGUUGAUUAAUCUAUUAAUGAAUUUUUAGCUAUCGUGUAAAAUAGAAAAUAUCCAUCUAAUAUAAGACAUAUUCUUUCUUUUAGUCUGGGGGCAUUAGUAAAAGAUCUAAGCGGUCUUAGCUCCUUCUUUGGUUUUGCCGCCCUUGCCCUUCUUCUCUUUUCUCUUCUUUUAGAAGAUGUCCGUGAUCGGAACGACUUCUGGAGUAAUUAACAAAAUAAAUUUCUCAUCUUAAUCUUUUUAUCUAAUAAAAUAAAAUCAAUUAAACUUGUGAAUUGUGAUCAAAUGAUUCAGAACUCUCCGCCUUUGAUCAAAAAUCUCGUACUCGACCCUUCUAAAAUUGAAAAAAAAUAAAUAUGUUCAAAGCACCGCUCCUAAAAAAUUACUCUCCAUAACAGCCUGAUACAGCCCAAAAAACAAUUCUACUCUUUAUUUUUAAUGAUUUUUAACAUGUAUUAUUAGUUUGUAUACAAUAUACAUUGAUUAUACAUGUCAAUGUUAAACUCCUUAUAUAAAUUUUAAUAUAUAUAUAUAUAUAUAUAUAUAUAUAUAUAAAAUAAAUACGAGAUUUAAAUUCAAAUUUGAACUUCAUAAUAAUGACAGUAUUUUUUAAAAAAAAGGUUCCGGAGACUAAAAAGUGGUUAUUUAUGAAAUUUAUUUUAAGGUUUCUUAAUCAUUAUUUUUCUUUCUUAAUUUGUAUAUUAAUUGUUGACUAUGGUCCCUCUACCUACAUUUUAUGAAGUUGGUCAAAUACAUUUAAUUUUAUUGAUUAAAUUGUCACUUGUCAUAAUAUAUAACCAUUUUUAGCCAUAUAAUUAAUUGAAAAUUUGUGAUUCUUUCUAUAUACACUGUAUCAUUUAGCUUUAACAAAACUAUCAUGUGACUCUUCUAACAUAUUAUAGUAUUUUAUUAUAUUAUUUAAGUCAAAACCAAACGUGUUGAAAAUUAUAUAUGGAGGAAUUUAAGUCUUAUGAUUGUUUGAAUAAUUAACUUGUCUAUAAUUCCUGAUAAGAUGUUUAAUUUGAUUAUCGUCUUUAUUAUAUUUACGAGGUAAUAAUAAAAUUUAUAUAGAUUUUUCUAUUCAGAUUUUAUUUUUGAAAUUGCAAUUAUUAUUUUAUUGUGAACUUCGGGGUAUUGUAGUAUUUUUGUUAUUUAGGUUUAAUUUUUUUUCUAUGAAUAAUAUAAAUUUAUACUUGCCUGGCAUAAUUUGACCAAUUAAUGAUUUUUUACGUCAUAAUUAUAUAUAGUUGAAGAGGUAAAUUUUUGUGUUAUUUUUUGAAACUAUUUUAAGUAAUUCUUUAUUAUUGAUUGUACUUCGACCAAAUAAAUUUGAAGAGUCUUUGAGGAUAAUUACAUUACAUAUAAGCUAAUAAAAAUUAAAUUGAAGUAGGAAAUUUAGAUUAAUAUCAAGAUGAGAUUAAAAUAUGUAUUUUUAUACAUAAAAUAAUUUAUUUAAAAGAAUCAUAAGUGUUACUCUUUUUGUCCCUAAUUAGCGGUUUGAUUUUUUCCUUUUUUAUUUGUUUUUUUUUAAUUGUCCAUUUUGAUGAAUGGAUAAUUUUUUUUUUUACCUAAUUAGUUAAGUAAUUUUAGAAAAGGUAGAACUUCUUGAAAAAAAUCUUAAAUUAUUUAAUUCGUCUAUUAAAUAAUUAAUAGACAUAAAAUGAUAAACUCAUUAUGUUAAAAAAAAUUUUAAUGAAUAUUUUAAUUUAAAAGUGAACAAAUAACUAGAAACGUAAAAAAAAUAUUAAGCUAGUCUUUGUCUAUCAAUAGAUAAAAUAUUUAACCGAUUAUACGCAAACGUUAUUCUUACAUUUGCAAUAAAGUGUAUGCAAAACCGUACAUAUAUAUAUGAUAAUAAAUAGGCAAAAUACAAUAUUAAAUUAAACAGUAGUUUCCAUGUGUUUAUUGUUUUCUUUAAAUCUAUUUAAUUUUGUUUAUUGGUAACUUUAAAAUAUCUUUAAAAGUUACCUGCCGUGUGAAAUAAAAUUAAAAUAAAUAUAGGAUAAUUACCCACCUAGCUCGUUCUAUGGUUCAAAUUUACGUAGACGCAUUAUAUAUUUAUUUAUUUAUUUAACUUUAAUAGUUUAAUUAAUUGUACACUUUUUAAUUUGAAAUUGCCCAUUAGUGUAUAGUCAAAAUUAAUGAUAACCUUAUCCUUAUUUUGGCUAUGAAAUGAUUUGAGUCUUUUAUUUUUUUGACGUUUCCAGUAAAAAAUUAAGUAAAAUAACUUCAAAUUAUUGUUUCUAUUCCAUAUUUGUUCCUUUUCAUAUUCACUGAUCAAACUUCAUAUUAUCGAGGACAUGAAGGUCAAUCGUGUAUCAAGAUACAAGGUUGAUAAUGAAUAAAGUGUUAUCUUGCGACGGAUCGUGUGUAGUACUGGCCGUACAUUUUUAGUUAUUGCCAUAUGUUGUUUAUUGUAUUUCAACUAUCACAUUAUAUUUGUUGAUAUUACCGUUCUUUCUUGUAAACUUUACAUUACUUAAUUUUCUCAUUAACGGUUAUGCUUCUUCGCUGCUCUCUUUUUACUCGUACUUCUGCUUGAUGUACUUGAGUUGAAGGUCUAUCGAUAACAGUCUCUAUUUUCUCGAGGUAACAGAUGGUUUACAUAUACCCAACUUUCUCUAAAUCUCACUUUGUGGAAUUUUACUGAAUAUAAGCUCUUGAAAUGUUUGUGACCAAUUAUUAUUAAUCCAAAAUAAAAGUUGGAAGAAUGAGUAUAUGAGAAAAUGAGAGAAAUUAGGACCAAUCAUAAAAAAUUUUAAAAAAAGAUUAUUUUUUUUAAUUUUUUAAUUUUUUUAUGAUUGAUAAUACAUUUGGUGGGAAUAUUAAAAGGCAUAUAAUAGAAAUAUUCAUUUCUGGUCAUGUCAGUGUUAUUGAACAGAUCCCACUAAAGAGGCAGAAGGAAAGAAUCAAGGAAUUAUUCUUUUAUAUUAAAGUUUCUGUAAAACAGAAUAUUCCAAUUUAAGAAAUAUAAAUUAAACUUUUUUUGACAUUAUAAUAAUUGGGAAUAUAUAGGAAAGCACUUAUACAUUUUCUUAUUGGGCUUGUGAUCCUAAUUUAAUAAAUUUUCAUCAUACAAUCUUCUACACAUGAUUUCCCAACUUGUAACCUAGUGUCUCUUAUAAAUUUGAAGUUCGAUAUUAGAUUCAUCUGAAUUCAUAUUUUAUAUAUAUAAAAUUGAAUUUAUUUAAAUUUUAUUUUAUUAUUAAUGUCAUUGUAAGUUAACAUAUUUUUGUACAAUCUUUCACACAUUUCUUAAUUUAUAAUGCUCGUUUCUUACAAAUUCAGAGUUAUAAUGCAAUAUUAAAUUUACUGAAUUAAUUUAUACUCAAAGGUGUUUUAUAUGUGAGAUAUCAAACUCAUCUGAAUUUAUAUUUUAACUAAAAAUUGAAAAUUCAUAUGUACAAUGAACUAAAAUUGUAUAUUGUAAAUUGUAACUCAUAAUUUUAAUAUUACGAUAAGUUUGAUAUCAAAAAUCUUAAAAGUUAACCUCUCGAAACUUAAAUUUUAAAAUCCAUCUUCGUUUACUAUGUAUAUUAGUAGUCAAUAAUUCAAUAGUUUUUAUAGAAAUGCAAUUAAAAUAACUAGUUGAUCAAAUUAAAUGUAUCUCUUUGAGAAAUUGAUAUAUAAAUUACUUUUUUUACUCUCUUUUUUCACUCACUGAGUCAUCUGUAUAUAUUUCUUCAGUUAGUUUAUUUUUUCUAUAGACGCUGUCAGAAAUUCAAGUCAGGAUCCAUGACCAUUAUUGGUGUAUAUAUAUACAUAGUGAUUGUCCUCACCGCACUUGUAUAAGCGGGCAGAGAUGGUAGUGACGGUUGUUACAAGUGUUGUGAGGACAAUCACUAUGCAUGUGAAUGUACCUAUGGUGGUCAUUGACCGUGGCUUGAAGUCCUGACUACGUUUGCACAAAAAAUAAACUAAAUGAAGAAUUUUUGGCAUAUAGAGAUGACUCAGUAAGCGAAAAAAAAAAGUGAUUUAUAUAGCAAUUUCUCAAUGCAAUACAUUUAAUUUGGUCAAUUAAUUAUUAAUUACAUUUGUACAAAUAACUAUUGAAUUAUUGACUAAUAAUUUAUAUAAUCAAUACUAUUAACUAGUUAGCUAAAUACUAAAAUUACAUAAAUUUUGACUAGGGAAAUUCUUUCAUUGUCCACUAAAUUUACUUAUCGAAGAGAAUAUUUUCGUUAAUAAAUCAUAAGUCCAUAAUCAAUUAACAAUAUUCAUAGGUAAAUAAAUAACUAAAAACAAAAUUUUUUGAUUUAGCUAAAACAUAUAUAAUUUUUAGAAACAAUGAUUUCUUUUAUAUAUAAAAAUAAGUAAGGUGAAAUAUAUCGCGUAAUUAUUUUGUACAUUCAAGCUCUCUAUUAAACCAAAAUUUUCUUUUCUCCGUUUUUUCAAUUUUUGCUUGGAUUAUUGACAUAUGACAUAAAUUAAAUUUAAUGACUAAUAAUUAAUUUAUUUAAGUAAAUUCUUAAUCAUACUUUUUUAUAUAAUAAAACACAUUAUAUGUUAGUCAAAAUUUCCUCUAAUUAUAGUAUUUUUUUUAAAAAAUCAUGUACAAAAUAAAAUAUACUCCCUUUAGUACAAAAUGAAAUCACUUGAUACGUAAAGGGCCAGAGGCGGAGUCAGAAUUUUCAAUAAAGGGGUUCAAAAUCUGUAGAAACAGAUAAUCGAAGGAGGUUCGACAUUUACUAUAUAUAUACCUACAAACUUAUUUUAACUAUGUAUAAACAAUAUAAUAUUCCGCUGAAGGAAAUUUAAAUAAACCCCCUUCAUACAGAAUAGCUCCGCCCCUGAUAAAGACUAUUCUACUCGUAGCUCGACUUGAUUUGAUUUAAGUAUAUAUUAAUCAAUAGAAUUAAUUAAAUUUGAUUAGGCCCAAAAUUAUUUGACAAAGAUGUCCAACAAUUUUCAUGUCCUAGUAUAUUUGGCAGGUGAAUCAGAAAAAUAAAAUAAAAUCACAACUAGUGGUAAAAUAUUUUAGUGCACUUAGUUAAAUUAAAAUUGAUAACUACUUGACCAGUCACAAAAUCACUAAUAAGUUAGUGGCCACCUAAGAAUUUUAAUCUUUCAGUGCAUGCGAACAAGUGUACAGAUUCCUGGCCAUAAUAUAUAUUUACUCCCUUCGUUUUUUAUCUCAAUUUAUAUGACAUAUUUUAAAUUACUCGAUCUUCAAUUAAGUGUGUCGUUUGAUCUUCUUGUGAUAUAUGAGAAGUAGUGGGGUCACAUAUAGUCGAGGGUACGAUGUUAAUCGACACCAUUUUACUAGAAAACUAUAUUGUGUAACUAGGUAAAAAUAUUAUUCUACAAGAGUAUAAUAUGUUCAUAUCCUUUCGUUUCUAUGUGCUUUAGCAUCUGUAUAUUUUGACAUCUCUCUUGGUAAAAAUUCUGACCCCAUUACUACACAUGAUCAGAGUAUACUAAUUUUAAAAAUUAUAUACAUAAAAGAGUAUCGAAUUUUAUUAAGGAUCACAAAUUCACAUGCCUAAAUUUUUACUUAUAAAUUCACUCAUGCGAUCAGAGCUUUACGUCCAAUCAUUUCGAAUAACGUUUUCAUUCUCUGUAUUAUUACGAUUCAGAAUUAAUCGAUAUUUAAAUUUCUCAUAUAAUGUUAUUAAUUCUUCUCUAAAAAAACUAUUUAAUAAAUUUCUCCGGACUUAAUUCUUCAAAUGUUAAUAAAGUACAAUCUUUAUUAUUAAAAAUUUUUAAAACUCAAAUUCGAGAUCUAUCGAAAAAAAUACAAAGAAUUUUAACCAUGUUAUCGUAACUUUUGGUGAUAGUUACAGUUUGACCGUUAAUAAGAAGUUGUUUGGCACUGUGAAAAUGACAUGUAAAAGGCUGGAUGUAUUAUAUUCUAGUGGGGGAUUUGCUGAUGUUGCAUUGGGGCCAAAGGUAGAAAAUAAAAUAAAUAAUAAUAAUAAGUACUAUCUUAUUGGUUUAAGAAAAAAAAUAAUAUCUUAUUGACUAAUAAUAAUACAAAAUCUAUUUAAAAUGGUGAAAAUUUAUAUUGAAUGGUCCAGCUAGUAAUAUUAUUCGUUUUAAGCUAAGAUUAGCAUGGAGUUACAACAUAUCAAAUGAAAAUCAUUUAUAAUUUUUCUAUCUGAUCUGCAUUUACUCAAUUCUUUAAUUUUCAUGUCCUACCUAUAAAUUUUGGCUAAUUUGUUAUUGUUAAUUUAUUGUUAUGGUAUAAAAUCCAUAUUACUGACCAUAUAUAACUAUAUAGUUUGGUAUUAUAUUUUUUCUACAAAGUUUUUUUUUUUACAAUCAAAUGACAGUAGUAAGAAUAUUAUUACUCCUACAUUAUAUUUAACUUUAUUAUAUGUAAAAUUCAAAGUACUUUCUAGGUCAUUUUGCAUUUGACAUGUAAAGAUGAUUUGGAUUCUCACUAUUAAAUACUAUUUUUUUUAAUCAUGAUAAAAAAAUUAAAGCAGUUUCGUGUUAACUUAGUUGUACUAAUUUUAGUUUAUAAUUAUUAUUUAAUUAAUUAAUCCUAAGAGGUGAUCUGAAUUAGCCAAAUUGUAUAUCACUAGAUGCUGUGUGUAAUCCAUUAUAUGAACUCUGCCACAAAUUAAAGUUGAUUAAUUAGUGGUUAUGAUCAUCUUUUUGCAUCAUCCCCCUAACUAAAUUACAAUUCUAUACUUAGGAAAUUUAUUUAAUUAUACAAAAACCCAUAAUCUUGUGACACCAUUUUCAGGCAGGAUUAACACACUUUUCAUUUACUUUUUUAAAAAAAAUUCAAUUUUCGUACUUAAGAUGUGGUGCAGUAAAUAAAGUUAUUUCUCUCUUAAUUAAAGAUUUCAUAUUCGAGUUCAGCGUAUGAAAAAUUAUCUUUGAUAGAGAGUAGCUCCCUCUGAAUAAAGCUCUGUGUGACGAAAAUUUAAAUUAGUCGAACUCCAAUAUAAUUUUUUUUUUUUUGGGAACACUCAAGGCAACAAAAAUAAUAAUUAUUUUAUAUAUAUAUUAUUAUUAUUUUCUUUUCACUAGGAUGAUUGUCAAUUGCUACCAUAAUAAGUUUAAUUAUUUUAUGCUAAUCCUAAGUCAAAUCCUAAUCUUAAUGAUUUUAUCCAUAUGCAAACCGAUCCAAAUUUGGAUGAUGAGAGAAUAUAUUUUAUUUUUUAAAAAUAAGUAAACAAAAUCAUGAUGAUUAUGAAGAGUACUUAAUUAGACUAAUAAGAUUUAAAUAUUAAAAACUCAAAUCAAUAAAUGGUCAAAGCUCACAAACAGCUCUAUAUUUUAUUGUUACUUAAUCAAUUUUAAGGUACUACUAGUUAUCUUUAAUUUAAGUCAAUGUGAUUUAAUGUUGAGUUGGAAAAGCACAUAUUCAAGGUAGAUUUUGUAUUUUUUUUCCAAUUUUAUGUACUCAUUAUGUAUAAAAUAUUUAUAUAAUCAGAUAAAUUUAUUAAGUACAAUUACAUUCAUAUAUAUAUAUAUCUCGAUAGUAUUUCUCUAUUGGUGAGUCAGUAAAAAUAUUAAUCGGUGAAUAAAUUUAUAUUGGUAAUUCAUAUACCUCCUAUCAGUAGUAUUAACUAUUCAAUUUUAAAGUAAAACAAUUCAUUUUUAACUAGAGAUUUCGAGUUUGAGCUUUUGAGAAUAAAAUUCUUAUUGAGAGUGUCGACCUGAUAAUAAAUCAUGCAAUAAGUAAAUUUUAAUUUACUUGAUUUCAAUACAAAUAUCGAACGAUAAAUUAAAUAAAAUAGAACAAUCCCCUUGUAAAUGUUCCAUUGUUGGCUAAGCAAAGCAAGUUAGGUGCAUUUCCAAUUUCCCCCAAAUGUGUCACAUGACAACUCAUUUCAUUAAUUAUUAAAUUACGUGAGGUAAAGAAUGAGAUUGUUUCUGUUUUAAUUAGAGGUCUUGAAUUCAAAUUCUCAAUGUAGAAAAUAUUUUUGAUAGAAAGCGCUACUCUCAUAUGGGGGUCUUAUUAGGCGUGAAUCUGAAUUAGUCGAACUUUAAUAUGAAUAUCAAACACAGAAAAAAGAACCAAAAAAAGACAACUCAUUUAAAUUUCCCUUUAAUAACUAUAAAUAAAUAUUAAUUUUAAAGUAUUCAACCACCUUUGAAAAAAAAAGGAAACCUUUAAGUCAAAAUUUAUAUAUUUAUUCUUAAUUAAUUUUUUUAUGACGAAAUGUAAGUGUUAUUGUGCUAAAAAAAUAUGUGAAUCAAAAAAGAAAAAAUUGAUGGUGGCUUGAAGCAAAGCAAAGUUGGUACAGAGCACUGUUGGAGAAUUUAAUUAAUUUAAUUAACACGUAAUUAAAUAAUUAAUUACUUUAUCAAAAAAAAUAUAAAAAAAAUAAUUAAUUUAAAACCCUACCAUUGUAUCUAAUUACGUAAUUUUUUUGUCCUUAAUACUAAAACGGUAAUGGUUUUUUGAUGGAGAAAAGCUGUAAAUCUUUCUGAUUUAAGUGGAGACAUCUUUAGCCAUAAUUAAAAAUUUGUUUAAUUAUUUUUUAAUUAAAAAAUUUAAUUAAUCAUGUAUUUAACACAUUAUAAAUAAACCAGCUGGCAAAUAUUAUAAUAUAAUUCAUUUGGCAGCUUUACUUUGCUACUUUGCACUUCACAACAUAAUUUAGCACAUAUAACAUAGAAUCUUUUGGACACAUUUUGCAAGAUUUGAUUAUAUAUAAGUAUUUUAUUUUUAAAGAUCCAACAAUAUUCUUCUAAUUAAGGUUUGAUAAUUAAUUAAAAGAUAAUAAACGUGAUUAAUUUUAAUUAUUCCAUAUUUAAAUAAAUUAUAUUCAUGUUCGAACAUGUAUAAUCCUAGUUUCAUGUCAAAUAAAAGACCAAUUUUCUCUCCCACAACGAAUGUAGGACUUUUAACACUUUUCAUAUGCUCAGAACUAGACAUUUAGAGUGUGAAUAAAAUAAAAUGAACUCAAACAUCGAGAAAUGAAAAUUAGGAUAGUCAAACUCUGAUACUAUAUACGAUAAAAAACCUGGAUCGAACAUAGUGUUGAUGUUCAUAGACCAAAGAAUGUGAUGUCAACACUACUAAAUGUUCAUGAUAAUGAUUUUACGUUAUAUACUUAGCCUUUGUCACUCUCCAAAGGACAAUAUAGUUUAGUUAUAUAUCGACCUUGGCUAAACAAAUUAUAUUAAUAUUUCCUAUGUAUAUAUUUUAAUUUAUUUAUUUUGGGAUCUUGCAUUUUUGAGAUAUAAGAUAUAGUAGUACGUAGUUCGAACACUAAAUAAAUUAUUAAUCUACACUUUUUAAAGUAAAUUAUUAAUUAAUUCAAGUGAUCCAUAAGUAGUGGGCACAAAACCUUAGGGUUAUUGAGCCAUAGAAAGAUGUUUUUAUAAGAAAAACAAAGUAUUGUUAUCUUGGUUUGCACUAAGUUUGAUCAUCACAAUUAUUGGUUGAUCAAAAAUCCAAUUGACAACUACGUUGAUAUUUAGGUAAAGUAUUAAUAUAUAUAUAUAUAUAUAUAUAUAAAUGGUUUGGAUCGAUCGGUUGAGACUACUAGAUUCGAUAUUUUUAGUUGAGGAUAUAAUAGGGGGAAAUACAAUAUGAAGAAUUCAAAGUUCCACCAACAAGAUGAAUAAUCAGGUAGUGAAUCAACUAAUUUAUGAUGAUUUCUCAGAAACAACAAGUAGCUCGAGCUCUUACAAAAUAUGGAUGAAUGUGCAUUGGAUCCUCCAUAAUAAUGUAAUUUGGAAGAGUCCUAAAAAGCAACAUAUAUGAUUUGAAGGGAAAUUAACUUACGGAAUUUCCACUAGUUUAGGAGCUACUUACUACAGUCUACUUUGCAAUAUUACGAAUCAUAUAAGAUUUUAGUGCGUCUAGAUACAUGUAUCCUAAGAUACAUGAGAACAAAUUAGGUGUAAUUUGUUCUAGAUACAGUGUAUCUCAAUGGAUUCGCAUGUACUUGGUAUACAUAGACAAAUCUCACUCACCUCUUUCUCAUCUCGUCCUUCACUCUCCUAUGUAUCUAGCAUCUCAAAUAUAUGUGAAUCACGUCAAAUACAUAUAUCUCAUUCACCUCCUUCUCAUCUCGCAUGCCUCUCUCUAUAGUUUAGUGCAUCGAGUAACAAAAAUAUAUAUAUAUAUUUAAGUGUAUCUUUCUUCAAUAUAUAAUAGAAACCUCUUAAUUAGUGGUUGAAUAUAUAAUUACUUUAAACUACAUAAGUAUAUAUAUGGAUAUAUGUCCAUUAAAAUGUUUUUCCUUGUUAAAAACCUUGAAUCUUUUUAUUGGUUUGUUGAAAUUUCUAAAAAUUUAUUGGUUAGAAAGAGAUAUAUCAUGAGCACUUAUGUAUCUCCUUCUUAUAUUAUUAAUUAUUAUUACAUCCACUAAUAUACUGUUUCAAUCUCUCCCUUAGCUCAGGAUCACCAAACCCUAAUUCCAUUUGCCCCACCCUCCCACCUCUAAAGAUUCUCAAUAAUUCUUCAAUUCUACUUUCCACUUGUCCAAUUUGAUCUUGAAUCAAUGUUAUUCAAUGAACUUCAUACUGUUAAUUUAUUGAGUAUAGAUGCCGCUUCGUGAUUUGAAAUUUAUUGAUUCUAAAUUUGAACUUACGGUACAGGGGUGGAGCCAGAAUUUAAAGUUUAUUUAGGAUUCUGAGUUUAAAUUCAGGAGAAGAGGCGAAAUUAAGGUUUAAUGUUAAUAUAUGGGUUCUAAACUUAACUAAGUUUAGGAGCAAAGACAGAGUUUACGAUUUUAAAUUUAUAUAUUCAAAAUUUUAGCUUUUUAAGUUUAAGUUCUAAAUUAAUGAUUUAUAUGCAUUCAAUAAAUUACUUAUGACAAAUAUAGGAUGUGGAUCAAAGUUAUUGAAUUAGGCGGAAAAUGUAACCAAAAUCCUUGUUUAUGGCUUACUAAAGUUUAUUAUAUAUACAUAUCGAGUAAAUUUUUGGACAAGUGUAUAUAAUUAACAUUCGAUAAAAACUUAUUAAAUUCUGUCAAACUUGUACGCUCCACCUAGAUUGAGGAUGGAGAAAACAUGUCCUCCUCCUCCAUCAUCUUCAUGUAUAGAUAAAGACCUUAAAUUUCCUAUCUUGAUUGUCCACUUUUUCCAACUUUCCAUCUCAAAAGAGACAAUUUGUCUCAAAAUUAGUAAAAUGGUCUAUAAUAUCUUUUUUAAGUGAUCUCAACACUAUCUACUAUAUCAUUAAAUCUUUGUUAAUUACAACAUUAAUACUAUCUCAAAUAUCAAUGAUUAAUGGUGUGUGUGAAUUAUGUCACAUUGACAUGUCCAAGAAACAAAACAAUGAGAGUGAUAAAAAAAAAUAAGCAUGUUUGACCUUCUUACGAAUUGAACGAUUUAAAUAUAACAUACGCUGUAUAUAGGAUUCUCAUGAUGCAUAUAAUAAGUCUUUAUAUAUAUAAGUGAUAUUAUGAUCCACAUUACACAUAGCACAAAUUUAAAAUAGAUAUAUUAUUAAAUGAUCUUUAUUAUUUUAUCGAUACGAAAUUUGCCUAGAUUAUUAUAUUAUUGGGAUAUUGAGUGGGGAACAUUGGUAUUGCAUUUAAUAUGUUUAUAAGGCUAGUAAAGAAAAGUUAAAAAGGCAUUUGAGUAUAUAUGUUUUUAGUGGUUGCUUUAUUGAGACCUUCGAUAGGGACAUUAGACAUUACCACAAAGCCAAAAACAUUGAUGAAAAUUAAAAUAGUGAGAGACCACUUCAAUAAUAUUAUAAUAAGUAUAUAAAAUAUAGUCAAUUAAAUAUAUCCACACAUUGCUUUUUUAGUGGAUGGUUCUAUUUAUUUAGAAAUAUAAUACGUUUCUUAAAAGAUUCAAUGAUUUGAGAACAUAAUUUUACUAUUUUUUGAGUUCUUUUACGACUCUAUAUAUCGAUUAUAAUAUAGUAUAUGUAGAUCUUUUAAGUCAUAUUAUAUAUUUGUAUUAGUAGCAUUUUUUAUUAAUUAGUUUUGGGUAAAUUCAUACUAAAUAUAUAUGGAUUAGCUUGCUUUGUUACUUAGUAAACGAUAAUAUAGUUCUAUAAAUAAUUAAUUAUAACAUCGUUUUGACAUGAAGGGGUAUCAAAAGCACACAUUUUAAUUGAUUAACUGAAAAUUAAACAUAUUGAAUCGUAUAUCACAUAAAUCAAGAUAAAAUUUAUUAAUAAUUUAAAGAUUAAACUAUUAUUAUCCCCGUAUAAUAUUUUAGGACAUAGUAUUAUAUUAUAAUUUAUAUGUCAAGAUUUAAGAAAAAUAUUUUAAAAAGGUCCCACAGUUUGAAUCUUUGACCAAUGAUUUGGAGUAUUUAUGGACUUAAUGAAUCAUAAGCCACAUACUAUCUUAAUAAUGAAUAAUUCUCCAAUUACAGAAAUAGAAACCACUAAAAAAAGUUUUGGUUAUUUAAAAUAAUAAUUAAAAAAGGACACAUAGUGUAAACACUAAUAGUGCUGAAGUCAUAAAAUUAGUUAAAGCAUUUAUAUAGAAAAAAAUAAUAUUGUCUUGUCCCAACUGAUAUAUAGUAAAGUUGCAAGAGGUCAACCGAAUUUAAUUUCAAUAUUUUUCAUUCAAAAUCACAUUAUAACAAAAACAAUAUAUUCAUUACAAAGUAAAAUAUCGCGAGUGAAAUCUAAAAAGGAUAAAGAGCACGUGGAUCUUGAAAGUGCAAGUCACAUUAAUCAUUAUAAUCUCAUGAGUAAAAUCUGAGAGAUCAUCUUCAAUAGACCCUCGACUUCAAAAUCAUAUUAGUAGUUGUAAAAUAUGUGGCGGGCAAAAAAGGUGGAGGUUUAUUUGGAGCAAUCCGUCAAGCUUUUACUGGACUUGAUAGACACCGACUCGUUAUCCUUCCACUACACAGAGCGGGAGCUGUUUACUGCUCUAUGAAGCCAGCCUCGUGCGAUCCGCCCCACUUUAGGAAUCAAGAAGCCCAUACUUACAUUUGGGCCUCAUUAUCCAACACUGUGCUUGGAUAGGGCAGGCCAGAAAUAAGCCCAUCAAGCCCAACCAUUUGGUUAAGCCCAAUAUUCUACCACCUUAAUGCCGGGUUACAAGCCCACGUUACUAAGCUCGACGUGCAACAAAGUGUCAUAGAUUAUUAUAAAUUCAUUAACAUAUGGCGAUGUGGGAAAAAUUAUAAAUUCCAUGAGAGGCAAUAAAGAGAGUUAUAUUUAGUUUAAUGUUGCACCAUUUCUUACUUUAUUUUCAUUUUGUACGAAUUGUACGUUUCAUAUAAUUGCUUAUUUCUUGUAUUUUGCUUUCAUACUUAAAUUUUGUGAUGUUAUACUUGAGUUGAGGGCUUAUUGGAAAGAGGUUUUUUGUCCUCACUAAGUAAAGAUUAGAUUGCGUACACAUUAAUAUUAUCAAACUUCACUUGUGAAAUUACAUUGAGUGUGUCGUUGUUGUAUUUUAUCUUGUACGACAAUGGCAUGAGUUGAGUUUAAUGAAGUGACGAGAAUUCAUAUAGCCGAUCCCAACUUAUUUAAAAUUGAGGGACCAAAUUCCGUUAAUAUUUCCCAUGUUAAAUUCGUGUUUUGAAUCAUUUCUUGCUUCGUUGUAGAAAGAAGAAAACUUAUAUAUUUGUUUUGUGAUUUUGAGACAUAAGAAAACUUAUAUAUUUGUUUUGUGAUUUUGAGGCAUAAGAUCUAAUAAUAUUAACUUCUUUUAAAUGACAAUACUUUUGUUGUGCUUCAUGAUUUACAUCCCAACAACCUAUGUGGUUUGAAUGAGUCAUUUUCUUCGUUCUUAAUCAAAGAUCUCAAAUUUGAAUCACAUGUAUAAAGAAUUCAAAUUAUCAAUCUUUUUACAAGGAUUUCGUACUCAAUAUAUAUAUAUAUAUGUGUGUGUGUGUGCAUAAAAUAACGGAAUAAGUAAGAACUUACAAUAUAAUUUUCGAUUGCACUGAUGAAAAUAUUGUGUGAAAAUCCUGAUUAGGCUGUAUAAAGAAUUCAAAUUAUCAACCUUUUUACAAGGAUUUCGUAUUCAAUAUAUAUAUAUAUAUAUAUGCAUAAAAUAACGGAAUAAUUAAGAACUUACAAUAUAAUUUUCGAUUGCACUGAUGAAAAUAUUGUGUGAAAAUCCUGAUUAGGCUGUAUAAAGAAUUCAAAUUAUCAACCUUUUUACAAAGAUUUCGUACUCAAUAUAUAUGCAUAAAAUAACGGAAUACUUAAGAACUUACAAUAUAAUUUUCGAUUGCACUGAUGAAAAUAUUGUGUGAAAAUCCUAAUUAGGCAAAAAAAGAUUUCGUACUCAAUAUAUAUGCAUAAAAUAACGGAAUACUUAAAAACUUACAAUAUAAUUUUCGAUUGCACUGAUGAAAAUAUUGUGUGAAAAUCCUAAUUAGGCAAAAAAAAGGUGGUUGUUUAUUGGAGCAACCCAUUAGGCGUUACUGAACUUGAUAAGACACCGACCCAUUAUCCUUCCACUGCACAGAGCGGGAGCUGUUCACUGCUCUGUGAAGCCAGCCUCAUGCGGUCCGCCCCGCUUUAGGAAUCAAGAAGCCCAUAUUUUCAUUUGGGCCUCGUGAUCCUACUCUGUGCUUGGACAGGGCAGGCCAGAACUAAGCCCACCAAGCCCAACCUUCUGGUAAAGCCCAAUAUUCAACCACUUUGAUGUCUCCACUUGGAUUACAAGCCCACGUUACUAAGCUCAACAUACA